rnacentral:lncRNA from 1 species
CCAAAUUUCAUCGAUAUAUUGAAGGAUAACGGUGGAUUCACAGAUCGGUUUUCCACCAUGAACGAGCACCGGGACUUGCUUAUGAAUUGGAUUAUAUUGAAGAAGCGAAGGACUCUUGUUGAGGAGAUCUUCUUCAAUAUAUUCGUACAGUAUGCCUUUGAGUUUUAGAGCCCAAAUUACUCUGUAACCGUACGGACUAAACCAAGUUCCGAGCAAUUUUACGACCGCCAUGAUUGGGAGGUUAGUUCAGAGAUUCUGAGAGCGCUGAGUGCAAAUUUAUAAUAGGAUUACUGGUCAAAGAUUUGUCUAAAAAUUUCAUGAUAUAAAAAAAGAGAAAUUGACAAAAAUUGUAGGCCCUAAAAGUUGGAAUCUGUCACUAAGACUUUUAUACGAAGAUGAAGUAUUAUAAAAGAUUUUUAUAUAAUAAUAUAAGGUAAUGUCAUGCAUGAUGCAAUAUAAGGUAAGGUAGUCCAACCGAACAAUCCAAUCCUAUUUAAACACAAGUAAAAACCCCAUAUAUAAUUUUAAACCCAUAUAUAAUUGAAUAUAUAUGUUUUCUUUUAUAAUUAAGGUAUCAUAUAUAUUUAUUUUAUCCGUGUGUUGAUUUGAUGAUCAGGGUGUUCAUCGUCUCAGAUGUGAUUUGGUUUCAAGUCACGCUAAUCGCGUUGCUGUUAGGACUUUACUCUCCUCUUAUAAUUCACUGAAAAGGAUAAUUUAUCUUUGACGUUUUAGCAAGCGUGUCAUCAUGUCUAGGGAGCAUUUGACUAUAAAAUCAAACCGUGCUAAUGUGUCGAUAUGUAAAAAGUGAAAAAUAUUUUAGAGUUGUUUUAGAACUAACUACUACUUAAAUUAAUCGAAAAUUCUAUUUUAUUAUAUAUUAUAUGUGUAUGUAUGCUAACAUAUAUAAUAAACAAAAAUAAAAUAAGAUGACUUCUUUUUUCAUGUUUCCUACUCGUUGAAUUCUGUAAUAAUUCUGUAACAUAUCCAAAAUGAGUUCUGUUGUUUUCAUAAUAUAUUUUGUCUGACAUAUGAAGAAAUGAUUGUCUAAAAUGGCUGCUGUUUCCAGAACUUUUUAUAUCUGACAUUUAAGAAAUGGUUGUCCAAAACGGCCGUUGUUUUCAUAAUUUAUUAUGUCCGACAUAUGAAGAAAUUGUUGCCUAAAAUGGCUGUUGUUGGGUUAUGGUUGUCGACACCAUUUUUUGAUAAAACGGAGUUGACUUGGAUAUUAAAAAUGAAAACGAAUAUAGAAGUUGUCACCAAUCUUUUUUGAUGAUGUGUGAUCGGGUCAAUUCAAAAAGUGGUUGUUUUUAAUAAACCAUUCGGUUUUAUUAAAACAACGAUUUUGGUUCAUGAAAUUCAGAAAAAUGGGUUCGGAAGUCGGUUACGUACGAGGAAGGAUUAGCACCCUCGUAACGCCCAAAAAUUGGUACCUAGUUGAUUAAUUAGUGUUGUCCAAAAUGACUGUUGUUUUCAGAAAUGAUUGUCUAAAAUGGCUGCUGUUUCCAGAACUUAUUACGUCUGACAUUUAAGAAAUGGUUGUCCAAAACGAACGUUGUUUUCAUAAUUUAUUAUGUCUAACAUAUGAAGAAAUGGUUGUCUAAAAUGUAUGUGGUUUUCAUAAUUCAUUUCUUUCUUGAAUGGUUGGUUGUAUUCUUAUGUUGGUAAGUGAAGUGAAUAAAAUUCGAUUUAAUUUUAAAAAUUUGAUAAAAAUUUUAAAAUUUAAAUUAAAUAGUUUGAAUUAUUCGAGUUAUUUGGAUCAACUCGAAUAAAAAAUUAUUAUUUUUGGUUUAAUUCGAAUAUGAACUCGAAUAUGAAUUACAAUAUUUGAGUUAUCUGAAAAUCUAAAUAAAAAAUACAAAAUUACGUCGUUUUGAUAAAUAUUUACUUUCUCUAAAGUUAAAAGGCAAAAUUACGUUGUUUUGCUAAAUAUUUACUCAUCAGCCUUAUUUUCUUUCUCGAAUCCCCCCACUUUCCCUUUUUUCUUUACUCAAAAUUAACCUAAAAGUUUGUAAUUCGUCUACUACUUAAAUAAUUAGUCUAUGUAAAUGCAAUAUUGAAUAUAAAUAAUAGGAUUCGUUAACUCAACUCAACUUGGCUCGAAAUUUUUUUACUCGAUUCAACUCAAUUUUAAAAAAAUACAAAUUGAAUUCGGUUUCUAAAAUAGUAUUCAUCAAUUUGACUAACUUAAUUUUUUUUUCACCCCGGCAAGUGUGAUGAAAAUUGAGGGGAAAUUGAGGGAAAAGUUUUGAUGGUUGUCAGUUGUUGAGUGAGCUGUCGUGACAUGCAAAACCCAUGCAUGUUGUCCUAAUAUGACUUAUUGUUAUGAAAAUAAUGUCCUGCUGGAGUUGAUUAAAUAUUAAUGUCCUAUGCUGCAAUUAAAAGAUAUCAUAGUGCUGUAUCAUAUUUAAAAUGUAAGUAUUUAUGUUGUCUUAAAACAUUAUCUGUAUGGAUUAAUUACUGUAAUUUAAACCGUCUUAAUAAUGAAAUUGUGAUAUCUUAAAGCAGUAAAUUGUGGUUAAAAUGUAUAAAUCUGGGAGUAAAUCGAGUUUUAUUUGUGGAAUGACAUGUUGUAACAACCCAAUUUUGGGUCUAGUCGGAACAGUGGUUUCGGGACCACAAAUCCGACGAGGAAAAAUGUAAUUGCCUGAAUUUUCAGGGGUGUCAGAACAGUGAUUCGAGAUCACUAAAUCCGACAACUGAGUAGAAAAUAUUAUUAAUUUAGUGAGUAUAAGUUAAAUGUGAAGUUAAGAAAAUUUUUGAAAUAGUGAAUAGUGCACUAGAAAUAAAUAUUAAAAUAGUUAGAAUAAAAAACGAGGUAUCGAGACCUCAAAGAUUUUAAACCGAGCCAUAAAUAUUUUUAUAAAUAUUUAUGGAGUGUUAAAAAGUUAGUAUUAAAGUUUCAAUAAUUAAUUGAACAAAAAGGACUAAAUUGUAACAAAUGCAAAAUUCUGGGAAAUGAUUAAAUAGCUUAAAUGAUAAAAGGAAGAGGACUUAAAAGGAAAAUAGACCCAAUGUCUAUUUGGGCUGGACGGCAAAGGCAUGAAAUCAGCAAGAAAGUAAGGAGAAUUAAGGGCAAAAUUGGAAUAUUGUAAAAUUACUUAAUAAAGCUAGGAUCAAAGUGGAAUUAUCUAGAUUUCUCUUUAUUUUUCUGCAUUCUAAUCAGCUAAAACACCAUAGAAGGGUUUCCUUAAGAUGGUGCUUCAUAUUUUUACUGCAAGUAAGUUCAAUUCUUGAUUAUUUCUUGAAAUUGUUGUGCUUUUGUGACUUUUACAACUAGGCCCACUUGUUGAAUUCAUUAGUUUUUGAUUCUAUGAAAGAAGUUGAAAGUUGCUAUGAAUAUGUGCUGGAAGUAUAUGAUGAUUUAGCAUGGAAUUAGAGCUUUAAAUUGUUUAUAUGCUAAUUUUAUUGAAAGAAAUGAAUAGAAAGUCAAUGUUUGGGACCUAAUAGUAAAAGAGUUUGAAGUUAGGGUUUUAUGAGGAAAUUUUGAAUUUCAAUAGUUAUGAAUAACUUAUAAGGUCUAGGUAAAGUACUAAUUGAGAAAAAUUACCUUAAUUGAGGGGUUAAUUGAGCAAGGACUGAAUUGUAUGAACUGUGAAAUUUAGGGCAAAAUAGAAAUUAACAUUUUGCACUAAAACAGUUUUGGAUAGCAACAGUAGUUUAAAUUUCAAAAAUCACCAAAAAUUAUGGGAAUCGAAUUAGAGAAUGAAUAAAACAUGAAAUUAAAGCUUAUUGAGUCUAGUUUCUCAUAGAAGAAACGGUGUAAGCAAUAGAAUUGUAAAUUAUGAGAUAUAAUAAAUUUUGUGAUACAAGGUCAGAAAGAUUUCGGGUUCCCCUGUUCUGACUUUGGAAAAUCAUCAAAAAUUGAAUAAAAAUAAUUAGGGGCUUAAAUUUAUAUAUUUAAAAUCAUGAAUAAGUCUAUUUUCAAGAGAAACAAAUAGAAACAUCAUUCAAGUCUCGUACAAGGAGAUAAUUAAUUUUUAGUGAAGAAGGAUCGAAAUUGUUUAAUAGUGAAAUAGGAGAGACUUUAAAGGCUAAGCCAAAAAUUCUAAAAAUUUUAUGUUAAAAAGAUAUAUGAGUCUAGUUUCCGGAAAAAUUAACAGAUCUUAAUUUAAAGCUUCGUAACUCGAGAUAUAAAUAAUUUAGUGACUCUAACUCGGAUAGACAGCUUUGAAUUUACUUAUAAGUAAAUAGUGAAAAUAUAGUUAAUGUUAUUAAGCAUGUUAUAUACAUUAAGGAUGUGGAAUGAAAAGGAGGAGGAGGAAAAUUAGAAAAUAUAUGAAUGACUUGUGCAUAAAUCGGUCAUAUAUUCGAUCAUAAUCGAUAAAUGUUGAAUUAGAAACGAUGUAAUGUUUUAUUUCAAAUAGUUACUGUGAGAUUGAUGAUAUCUGAUUUUAGCUAAAUUAAAAGCUAAAGCGAUGUUUUCAUUGAAAAAUUAAGAAUUUCAUAAAUGUGUUAAUGAAUGGCAUAAUCGAUAAACGUUGAGUUAAAUGGUAAAUACGUAUUAGUAUUGAACUUAAUGAUAUUGAAUUGUAUGAGAAGUAAAUGGAAAUUUCUAUUGCUAGUGAUAUGAUUUGAAUUAAAAAAAUUAUUGCGAUAUUGAAAUGUAUAUUGGAUUGAGAAAUUGAUUUGAAUUGUGAACAUGAUAAAUUAUGAAUUGAAUGAAAUGGAAAUGAAGCAUUGAAUUGUUAAGACUUGUGAAUUGCAUGAAUAUAAAUCGAAUCCCGUAGGCCCUAUUUAUUAUGAAUAUAAUAUUUAGAGGAUAUAUUGUGAAGAAUUAUAAAAGCAUGUUAAAAUUUUGAAAGUUUUAAUUUAGAAGAAAUUUUAUAAUAUGAUUAAAUAAGUUUACAAAGAUGGAGUAUUAUGAAAGAUUUUAUAUAGUAAUAUAAGGUAAUGUCAUGCAUGAUGCAAUAUAAGGUAAGGUAGUGUCAUGCAUGAUGCAUCUUUAUUAAUUUUUUUUUAAUUUGAAUAAAUGUUUUUAGAAAUAAAUUAGUGGUUGGUUGAAUUGAUUAGGCCAUUAGUUUGUCGAUUUGAUAAGUUCGAUAAAGAUAUAAUAAUAAAUUCAUAAAAAAGAAUAUUUAAGAAAUCUAGUUCAACUGUCAAUUUAAUUGAUUUUUUAACUGGUUCAAUCGAUUUGAUGUUUUUUUCGAAUCUAUAUUUCGACCUGUUUCUAGUCCAACCGAACAAUCCAAUCCUAUUUAAACACAAGUAAAAACCCCAUAUAUAAUUGAAUAUAUAUGUUUUUUUAUAAUUAAGGUAUCAUAUAUAUUUAUUUUACCCGUGUGUUGAUUUGAUGAUCAGGGUGUUCAUCGUCUCAGAUAUGAUUUGGUUUCAAGUCACGCUAAUCGCGUUGCUGCUAGGACUUUACUCUCCUCUUAUAAUUCACUAAAAAAGAUAAUUUAUCUUUGACGUUUUAGCAAACGUGUCAUCAUGUCUAGGGAACAUUUGACCAUAAAAUCAAACCGUGUUGAUAUGUAAUAAGUGAAAAAUAUUUUAGAAUUGUUUUAGAACUAACUACUAAAAUUAUGCGAAAAUUCUAUUUUAUUAUAUAUUAUAUGUGUAUGUACGCUAACAAAUAUAAUAAACAAAAAUAAAAUAAAAUAAGAUGACUUCUUUUUUCAUGUUUCUUACUCGUUGAAUUAUGUAAUAAUUCAGUUUUUUGUAGUGCCGGAAAGUGAAAUAUCGACACUUUAUUUUCGUAAAUCAAAUUCGUAAAAAUUAUUAUUAAAUCACACCCAACAAUUUUGAGACCUUGAGAAUUUUUUUUUGAACUUUUGAAAUUUGCAUGUUAAAUAGUUGUUUCUUCAUGUGGGAGACGGUCAAAGUGGUAAAGGCAAGGAGCAAGGUUGUGCUUGUGACGGCAACUUGGGGAAGAUUUGGGUAAGUUUCCUUGAAAUUUACAGACUUAAUUGCCAGGUUGAAGUAAGCUAGUUGGUGACUUCAAUUAAGUUGUCUGAAUUUUAUGAAUAAACUGUGAAUUAGCUGCUGUUGAUUUUCGGUAUGUAGCAAAUCAAACGUGUUGGAAAUUUGAAGAAAUGGUUGUCCAAAAGGACUGUUGUUUUCAUAAUAUAUUUUGUCUGACAUAUGAAGAAAUGAUUGUCUAAAAUGGCUGCUGUUUCCAGAACUUAUUAUGUCUGACAUUUAAGAAAUGGUUGUCCAAAACGACUUCGUAAUUUAUUAUUUCUGACAUAUGAAGAAAUGGUUGUCUAAAAUGGCUGUUGUUCGGUUAUGGUGCGGGUUUAAUUCAUUUCUUUCUUGAAUGGUUGGUUGUAUUCUUAUUUUGGUAAGUAGGUGAAUAAAAUUUGAUUCGACUUUAAAAAUUUAAUAAAAAAUUUAAAAUUUAAAUUAAAUAGUUCGAAUUAAUCGAGUUAUUUGGAUCAACUCGAAUAAAAAAUCAAAUUUUUUGGUUUAAUUCGAAUAUGAACUCGAAUAUGAAUUACACAAUUCGAAUUAUUUGAAAAUCUAAAUAAAAAAUACAAAAUUACAUCAUUUUGAUAAAUAUUUACUUCGUCUAAAGUUAAAAGGCAAAAUUAAGUUGUUUUAAUAAAUAUUUACCCAUCAGCCUUAUUUUCUUUCUCGAAUCCCCCCACUUUCCCUUUUUUCUUUACUAAAAAUUAACCUAAAAGUUUAUAAUUCGUCUACUAGUUAAAUAAUCAGUCUAUGUAAACGCAAUAUUGAAUAUAAAUAAUAAGAUUCGUUAACUCGACUCAACUUGACUCGAAAUUUUUUUACUCGAUUCGACAAAAUUUAAAAAAAUACAAAUUAAACUCGGUUGCUAAAAUAAUGCCCACCUCUACUGGUAAGUGUGAUGAAAAUUGAGAGAAAAGUUUUGAUGAUUGUUGUAAUACCCAAUUUUGCCCCGGGCCUGUUAAAAUAAUACAAAAACCAAAAUAUAAAUAAAGUCCAAAUAUUAGACAGUCCAUUGACAUAGUCCAAUUAAUUACACCAGCCCAUAUAGCCCAAUAACCAAAAAAAAGCCCAAAGCUUCGACCCAAAUACAAUUGUUAACCCAAUUCCAGAAACCAUCCCGCCUUCCUCGCACGCCGCCAGCAGCCUCUCACCAUAGCCACCCGCGUGCGUGCGCCCCUAGUUGUACCUGCAACUAGGGGGUGUGCAAAAUUCGUGUAAAAUCGAAAAAAAUUCAGUUAACCGACUGAAUUCGAUUAAUUGGUCGGUUAACCGAAUUUUUUUGGUCGAGGGUCGGUUAAUUAUUUUUUAAUUUUUUGGUUAACGGUUAAUUCGGUUCGAAACUAGUCGAUUAACCGAAUUUUUUCGGUUUAAGUAAAAAAAUUAAUAAAUAAAAUUAUAAUAUAUAAAUAGGCCCACUAUUCACCUAAACCCAAUCCAAACCCAAGUAUUCAAUCCAACCCAAUUACCCAACUCAACCCAAUCAUAAAAAUUACAAAUAAUUUAAUAAAUAAAAAUAAAAUUCUAAAACUAAAACUAAAACUAAAGUCUAAAAGUCUAAAUAUAAUUUAAUUAUGUAGUGAUUCAAUUCGGUUAAUUCUGGUAAUUCGGUUAAUUUUUAACCAAAAAUAAAAAACAUAUAAUUUUCGGUUAAUUCAGAUAACCGACCGAAUUAACUGAAAAAUUUCGGUUCGGUUAAUUUUUUUGAAAAAUUUUCGGUUCGGUUAACGGUUAAAAAUUUUGAAAGGUCGAUUAAUUCGGUUAAUAUUAUUUCGGGUCGGUUAACCGAACAAACACCCCUACCUGCAACAGCAAACAGCAAACAAUACCAACAAAGCAGUAACAGCAAAAUAGAAUAACAGAAAAGGGAAUAAUAGAAUAUAGGAAAUGUAUUUCUUUGUUUAUUUUUAUUUUAUUAUUAUUUUUCUAUUUCAUUUUUCGGCUAUAAAAGAGCCGAUUCAAGCACUGUAAAAGGAGACGCAUUCAAAGAAAAAGAAACAGAAUCAUCAAAAAAAGAAGAAUAGAGUUUUUUUUUUUCUGAAGGUUUUUUUUUUCGAUUUCAAUUUAUUUUCCUUGUUUCAUUUGAUUGGCUUUGAUUAUAAGCUAAAAGAGGAAGAGAAGAAGCGUCUUACCAGAGCGGGCGCCAUUGGAACCUGGUUUGCUCCGUCUGAAUCAGAGUCAAAUCGGGUUCGUGACUGGAGACCGACGGGGAGAAAGGCUAGGUUGUUGGUAUGUUUUAGGAUAGCAAAACAACUUAUCAAGGUUUUAGUUUUUAGUUUUUUAAAGAUAAUAAAACAGUGCCGUUUAAGCCUGAUUUGAUGGCUUCAAAACGACACCGUGUUGACUAACACCCGAUGACCCGACCCGAACGAGGUGGGAUCCGCGCGUUUUGAGUCUGUUGGGAUUUUUGCGCAUCAGAUCCCUCUGUUUUGCGUUUUGGUUCAAUCUAAUCCUUUUGUUUUUUUAAUUUUGGCCACCUAUUUCUUUGUAAAUGCCAUUUGGUCCGCGAUGAAACGCCACGUUUUGGGGGAUGGGAUAUUUUCUCGUUUAAUCCCUAUGUAAUUCACGCAUUUUUCUUUGGCCCUCACUGAUAUAGUAUUUUCAUUUUUCUCUCUUAAUUUUGUAUUAAAUACAUUUUAGCCCACAUUUGUUUAGUCUAAAAAUGUAUUAAUUAUUUAAAUUUGUUAUGGAUUAUUAUUUUAAGUUAGUCAUGUAUAUUUUAAUUUAUUAUGAAUAUUUUAAAUGUAUCAUACAUCAUUAUUUUUAAAUCUAUUAUGUAUGCAUAUUUUAAUUGUAUUAUGUAUAAUUAUUUUAAAAUUCAUAUUUAUAUUAUUAUUUUCUUAAUGUUAUUAUAGUAUCAUAAGUUUAGCAUGUACCAUUAUUUUAAGUUUUUAUAUUACUAUUUACUUUAGUCAUGAAUAUUUUUUUGUAUUUUAAUUCAAUAAAAUCUAUACCAAAUUGAUUUCAUUUUUAGUUCUUUCAUAUACUUUUAUCUUUAAAUUUGUAUGGUAACAUUCUAUAAUGUAAUUUCAUAUAUAUAUACAUACAAUUUAUAUUAAAUUAUUAUUUUUGUAUACAUAUAUAUAGUAUAUUAUUUAAUUUUGGAACUGUAUAUUUCUAUAUAUACAUAGAUAUUUUAUUUCUUCCUAAUAUAUUUAGUUUAUUUCACAUUUUUGUAUAUUUGUAUAUUAUCACUUGCAUGAAAUUCCAAACCCUAUGUAUUAUUUAUUUAAAAAUUAAUAUAUAUUUUUUUAUGCUUUAUUUUUCCCUUGUGUAAAAUUUGCUUCAAAAUUCAUCUAAACACCAUUAGUUAAUGUUUUUUGCAAAUUUGUUUUAAACUUAUGUAUAUGUUUUUAAUUUUUGAAUGUAUAUUGAUUGCAAUUUGUUCUUUUGUACAUUUAGCAAAUAAAUUGACAAUUCAUUUGGUUUUGGAAUAUUGAUUUUAUUAGCGUUCGCAUAAUAUGUGAUUGUGAUUAUUGUUGCUAUGUGAAUUAUUGGGUUUGUCUUUAUUUACUGUUUAUUUGAUUAGUGUAAGUUUAUUUACAAAUUGUCUUUUUUUUUUUUGGCGUUGUACAUAAACAUUAAAUUAUACUACAUUUGUUUUAAAAAUUGUGUUUCAUUAGAGCACUAAAAUCAUUCUAUUCCGUGAAUUUUAAAAAAUGCUCGGUGUUCACGAUUCUCGAGAGGAUUGUGCCCUAACUUACUGGGCUUCAAUUCUUUUCUAUGAAUUUAGAUAGCCAAGUAUUUAUUUUGCAAUAAAACCAUACAAUUUCAAAAUAAAGUUUUUCUGGGAUUUCAAAAUGUUGAAUCCUAACUCAUUGGAUAUGACAUUUUGCUACCUCGAAUUAAGGAUUUUUAAAAUAAAGGCAAUAUUCGGUGUUUAGGAAUUUCGAGAAAUUGAAUCCUAACUUACUGGGUUCUGAUUUUUUUCGUUUGACCCAAAUAGCCAAAUAUCCUUCUCAAAAUGCACAAGUUUUUAAAGUUAAAAAGAUAAACUUAAUUUUGAAGAUUAAAAAUGUUGCAUUCUAACUCACUGAGUGUGACAAUUUAUUUCUUUGAAAUGAGUGUGUCUUAUCAUUCAAUUCGUUUUAUUCAAAUUUUCUUUUCAAAGGAUCGUAUUUUAAAAUCUUUUUAAAUUUUCAACACUAAGAUAUCAAAUAAUCAAUUCGGUACCAAUUUUGGGCGUUACGAGGGUGCUAACCCUUCCCCAUGCGUAACCAACUCCCAAACCUGUUUUCUCAAAUUUCGAAGACCAAAAUCGUUUUUAAUGUGAGCUGAUCACACCUCAAUAAAGGAUUGGUGGCGACUCCAAUUUUCGUUUCUAAGUCAACAACUAAAUUUUGUUUUCAAAAAGUGGUUUUGACAAUUGUCAGUUGUUGAGUGAGCUGUCGUGACAUGCAAAACCCAUGCAUGUAGUCCGAAUAAGACUUACUGUUAUGAAAAUAAUGUCCUGCUGGAGUUGAUUAAAUAUGAAUGUCCUAUGCUGCAAUUAAAAGAUGUCAUAGUGUUGUAUCGUGUUUAAAAUGUGAGUAUUUAUGUUGUCUUAAAACAUUAUCUGUGUGGAUUAAUUACUGUAAUUUAAACCGUCUUAAUAAUGAAAUUGUGAUAUCUUAAAGCAGUAAAUUGUGGUUAAAAUGUAUAACUCUGGGAGUAAAUCGAGUUUUAUUUGUGGAAUGACAUGUUAUUUUAGAAGUACAAAUUGAGUGUCGCUAAUGGUGAGUUCUUUCAGUUUUUAUCGAUUUAUGUGUAAUGUUUAAUUCAAUUUUUGAGUUUACAGGUCGGGAAUUUGAAGAUGAUUAUGUGACAACCAGUUGAUAUGAUUACAAAUGUGAUAUGAAAAGAUUAUAUUCAUAAUAUAAGUUGACAUAUUAAACUGCCUACGAACUUUUGAUUUUUAUUUAUGUCCUCACAUAAUUUACAUAAUAAACCAGAUUUUACCUUGUCGUCUGCAAAUUUGAUCCAAAACAGAGCAACAGCUCUGUCAUAGGGAUCAGCCGGCAGCAAGGGAUUCUGCGACCAAAUUUCAUCGAUAUAUUGAAGGAUGACGGUGGAUUCACAGAUCGGUUUUCCGUCAUGAACGAGCACCGGGACUUUCUCAUGAAUUGGAUUAUAUUGAAGAAGCAAAGGACUCUUGUUGCGGAGAUCUUCGUCAAUAUAUUCGUAAGGUAUGCCUUUGAGUUUCAGAGCCCAAAUUACUCUGUAACCGUACGGGCUAAAGAAAGCUCCGAACAAUUUCACGACCACCAUGGUUGGGAGAUUAGGUCAGAGAUUUUGAGAGCGCUGAGUGCAAAUUUAUAAUAGGAUUACUGGUCAAAGAUUUGCCUAAGGUUUAUAAUAGGAUUACUGGUCAAAGAUUUGUAGACAAAAGAGAAAUCGACAAAAAUUGUAGACCCUAAAAGUUAGAAUUUGUCACUAAGACUUUUUUAUAUAAAAGAUUUUAUAUAAUAAUAUAAGGUAAUGUGAUGCAUGAUGCAUCUUUAUUAAUUGUUUUUUUAAUUUGAAUAAAUGUUUUUAGAAAUAAAUUAGUGGUUGGUUGAAUUGGUUAGGUCAUUAGUUCGUCGAUUUGAUAAGUUCAAUAAAGAUAUAAUAAUAAAUUCAUAAAAAAAAUUAUGAAAUACAGUUCAACCGUCAAUUUAAUUGAUUUUUUAACCGGUUCAAUCGAUUCGAUGUUUUUUUUCGAAUCUAUAUUUCGACCUGUUUCCAGUUCAACCGAACAAUCCAAUCAUAUAUAAACACAAGUAAACACCCCAUAUAAAAUUGAAUAUAUAUGUUUUUUUUAUAAUUAAGGUAUCAUAUAUAUUUAUUUUACCUGUGUGUUGAUUUGAUGAUUAGGGUGUUCACCGUCUCAAAUGUGAUAUUGGUUCAAGCCACGCUAAUCGUGUUGCUGUUAGGACUUUGCUCUCCUCUAAAUCACACCCAACAAUUUUGAGACCUUGAGAAUGUUUUUUUUUUACUUUAGAAAUUUGCAUGUCAAAUAGUUGUUUCUUCAUGUGGAAGACGGUCAAAGUGGUAAAGGGAAGGAGCAAGCUUGUGCUUGCGACAGCAACUUGGGGAAGAUUUCGUUAAGUUUCCUUGAAAUCUACACACUGACUCGUUUACUUAAUUGCCAGAUUGAAGUAAACUGGUUGCUGACUUCAAUUAAGUUAUCUGAAUUUUAUGAAUAAACUGUGAAUUAGCUGCUGUUGGAAAUUUGAAGAAAUGGUUGUCCAAAAUCACUGUUGUUUUCAUCUGACAUAUGAAGAAAUGAUUGUCUAAAAUGGCUGCUGUUUCCAGAACUUAUUAUAUCUGAUAUUUAAGAAAUGGUUGUCCAAAAUAACCCUUUUUUUUCAUAAUUUAUAUUUUCAUACUAACUUCAUAAACCUUUCUAUUCAUGAUUCCACUAACUCAAUUUACGGAAUUGGAUUUUAAAAUUGUAUUUUUUUCGACAAUGUUUAAAAUCGGGUCAUUACAAGUAAAUUAAAAGAAUAAAUAAUAUUUUGGGCAAAUGAAAGAUAUUUAUUGUGCUAAAAAACUAUAUUAGUUAGUUUAGAGACAAGAUAACACAUAUAAUUGACUUAAUAAAUGAAAAGGCCGAUAUAGGAGGGAGGGGCGGCAAACUAGUAUGGACCCAUUGAAUUUUUUUAUUUUUAUUUUGAUAAUUUAUUUAAACAAACUGAUCGAAAUUAUUGGACUAACAAAGCAGUGACUUGAUCAGUUCGAACUUUGAAAACCUUCAAUAAAGAACACAAGUGUCCAAACCCUAAUUCGAUUUUGAUGUCAACAUCAUCUCUCUACCAUGCUUCAAGAAAGUAGACAUCUUAUCGGUAUCAGGAAAGUUGUCUUUGAUUACAGGGAUUGAUUUGAAAUUUUGGAUCCACGAGCUCACUCGAGGGAACUUGUGUGGCUCACAGAUUUCAAGCCCUAGUAUGUCUUCGAGAACCCCAAGCCAGAUAGCAACAAAGGAAAAUGCAAUGUCCACCAUGUUUAUCUCGUCUCCGCCGAAUAACUUUUUCACUCCGAUCAGCGCAUGUUCUUCCAUGACUUCCAACAUUUCCAACCACUCUUUCACUGCUGCCUGUUGUUCUUCGCCAUUGGCUCGAUAAAGCUUUAACAUUAAAUAACCCUGUUUUAAACAGAGAUAUGGGAUUUCUAGUAUGAGGCAUCAAAAGUUAUGUACAAUAAAAGAUUUUCAAAGAUUUCAACUAGGUUAAAAUAUGCUACAAAUCCUUUUAUUCUUUGUAUGUUUAAAAUUUAGUCCUCCUAUUUUUGUUUUAAGAAAUUUAAUCCCAUUACUUUUAAAUUUAAAAAGGGUUAAAUCACUUCACGGGGUUUGAACUUAGCAAGUACUCCCACAUUAGGGCAUGAACUUUUUUUUUGUUCAAAUUAGUCCUUAAACUUGACAAUUAUUCUCACGGUAUGGCCUGAUAAAAGUUACUUAUCACUUAAUAAAUAAUAUUUUUAAUUAACUCAAUUUUAAUUUAUUUAUUUUAAUAUUACGUUAUCCUAUAAAAACCUUAUGUUUAAAAUUUUAAUUAUGGUUUAGAAUAAGGUAAAAUGUUUAAAAAAUAAGAAUAAAAUGUAAAAUAUAUUUUUUUUAUAAUUCAAGAUCUAUAUUUAUCAAACAAUAUAAUUAUAUUCCGUAAUUAAUUUUAAGUAAUGUAUCAAACAAAUUUUAUAACUUAAAUUCGGCACGUAAAUUUUCAAUACUUAAUUUUUCAACCCUUAUUUUUUCUGCACUUUAUCUUUUAGUUUAUCAAAGAACACCUUAGUCCCUAUAUUUUCUUGAAAACCCUAAUAAGCCCCAACAUCGGAACAAUUGCCUAGUCCAAGCACUAGCAUGAGAACAAUUACCACAUUUAGGGACUAACUUGGACAAAAAAAAGUUCAAGCCUCAAUGUAGGAACAAUUACCUAAUUCAAGCCUUAACAUGUGACCCAAUAUGAGAAUUGUUGCCAAGUUCAGGCCUCAAAUAAUGAUUUAACCCAUUUAAAAAUGUAAAUAUAAUCGUAAACAUGAUUUUUUUGGAUUAAAUUCAAGUUCAUAACUCAUUUUUUUCGUUAUAUGACUACCAAAUGAAUAACUAUUUUUUUUAUUUCAAAAUAUCAUACCAAAAAAUUUAAUAAAAAAAUUAACUGUGUUAACAAUUGAGUUCGGGUUUAGAGUAAAAAAAUUACCAAUUUUAUAUGUCAAUGACAUGAAAAAAUUACUAAAAAUAUUAUUAAAUAAUUAGAAAUAGACAAUAGAUGAGGUGGUGGGAAAGGUCCAUAAAAUAGUUUCUCCCAAUACAACAUUUAAUAAAUAAUUUUGGCUAUAAAUAUAAAUAUAAAAAAUCAAUAAACGGGAAAAUCGUCAUAUGCAUCAAAUAAAUAAAUAAAAGGUUUAAUUGCAAAAUUAGUGUCUAAACUAUAUCAAUUUUCUCAUUUUAAGUACCUAAAAGUUUUGGUAAAAAUAUUCUUAAACUAUUAAUUUUAUUACAUUUUACCUAAAAAGUGCACGAUGGCAAUAAAACAUGCUACUGUAUUUUUGGUAAAAUAAGACAAAAUUAACCAUUUAAAAAUCAUUUUGCAAAGAAGAGAAAAAAAAUUAACUCUUAGACACCUAAGUGAUAAAUACGAUAUAGUUGGAGGGUUAAUUUUGUAUUUAAUCCAAAAAAGAAAAGAACAGAUUUGACCUUGUCAUCUGCAAAUUUGAUCCAAAACAGAGCAACAGCUCUGUCAUAGGGAUCAGCCGGCAGCAAGAGAUUCUGCGGCCAAAUUUCAUCGAUAUAUUGAAGGAUGACGGUGGAUUCACAGAUCGGUUUUCCGUCAUGAACGAGCACCGGGACUUGCUUAUGAAUUGGAUUAUAUUGAAGAAGCAAAGGACUCUUGUUGCGGAGAUCUUCGUCAAUAUAUUCGUAAGGUAUGCCUUUGAGUUUCAGAGCCCAAAUUACUCUGUAACCGUACGGGCUAAAAAAAGAUCCGAACAAUUUCAGGACCGCCAUGGUUGGGAGAUUAGUUCAGAGAUUCUGAGAGCGCUGAGUGCAAAUUUAUAAUAGGAUUACUGGUCAAAGAUUUGUCUAAGGUAACGAUGGUGACUGUUUUUUUUCAUGACAUAAAAAAGAGAAAUUGACAAAAAUUGUAGGCCCUAAGAGUUAGAAUUUGUCACUAUAACUUUUUUAUACAAAGAUGAAGUAUUAUAAAAGAUUUUAUAUAAUAAUAUCAUGCAUGAUGCUAUAUAAGAUUUUAUAAAAUAUUUUAUAUAAUAAUAUAAGGUAAUGUGAUGCAUGAUGCAUCUUUAUUAAUUGUUUUUUUUUUAAUUUGAAUAAAUGUUUUUAGAAAUAAAUUAGUGGUUAGUUGAAUUGAUUAGGUCAUUAGUUCGUCGAUUUAAUAAGUUCGAUAAAGAUAUAAUAAUAAAUUCAUAAAAAAUAAUAUUUAAGAAAUCCAGUUCAACCGUCAAUUUAAUUGAUUUUAUAACCGGUUCAAUCGAUUCGAUGUUUUUUUUUUUGAAUCUAUAUUUCGACCUGUUUCCAGUUCAACCGAACAAUCUAUCCUAUUUAAACACAAGUAAACACCCCAAUAUAAUUGAAUAUAUAUGUUUUUUUAUAAUUAAUGUACCAUAUAUAUUAAUUUUACCCAUGUGUUGAUUUGAUGAUCAAGGUGUUCACCGUCUCAGAUGUGAUCUGGGUUCAAGUCACGCUAAUCGCGUUGCUGUUUAGGACUUUGCUCUCCUCUUAUAAUUCGCCAAAAAAAGAUCAUUUAUCUUUGAUGUUUUAGCAAACGUGUCAUCAUGUCGAGGGAGCAUUUGACUAGAAAAUCAAACCUUGCUAAUGUGUCGUCGAUAUGUAAUAAGAGAAAAAUAUUUUAGAAUUGUUUUAGAACUAACUACUACUUAAAUUAUUCGAAAAUUCUAUUUUAUUAUAUAUUAUAUGUGUAUGUAUGCUAACAUAUAUAAUAAACAAAAAUAAAUAAAAUAAGAUUACUUCUUUUUUUAUGCUUCUUACUCGUUGAAUUCUGUAAUAAUCCAAUUUUUUGUAGUGUUGGAAAGUAAAAUAUCGACACUUCAUUUCUAUAAAUCAAAUUCGUAAAAUUCAUUAUUAAAUCACACCCAACAAGUUUGAGACCUUAAGAAUUUGUGUAUUGAAUUCACUAUAUAAACCAAUGGUUAAAUUAUGCUAUUAAUUUGUGUAUUUUGCAAAAGUUGUGAAUUUAGUCCUUGUACUUUCGGAACGGUCAUAUUUAGUAUCUCUACUUUUCGAAUUUUGAAGUUUUAAUCCUCACCCGAACAGUAGUGGUUAGAUCCAUUUGGUUAAAUUCAAUUACUAGUCGCCAUGUGUACAAUUGUAUAUUUAGUCCAUAUUAUGCAAUUGAAUCAUUCUAAGUCCCUAUACUUUUUUUUAAUUCUGAAAUUUUGGUCUUCAUGCAAAUAACAAUUGUCAAUCUAUUAAUUAGAUUUCGAAUGAGUAAUAUGUAGAAAUAACAAGCUGAUAAAGCAUUACACAUAUGAUGAUAUAUUUAUCGCAUCAAAAUUUGAAAAUAACAUAACAUAACUUAAUGAAUUUAUCAAAAAUUGCAAGAAAUAAAAAUGACCAAUAACUUUUGUAAAAUAUACGGAUUAAUAGUAAAAUUUGACGUAAACUAUAAUAUUUGAUAAUAUUUUUUUAAUUAUCUAUAUAUAACUUAACCCAAGUAUAAUUUAGCUAGCUCUUAAUUACUUAUAUAAGUGAACAUAUAUGUAUAUAAAGCUUAAUAAAAGUUUAUAUUUGGUAAAGUUGGUUGGACAUGGUAGCAUAGUCUUCACACCUAGAAGAAGUGUCAAAUUGGUCUAUAAUCCCUAUUUCACCUAAUUAUGCUAAUAGCCUUUCUAUUUAGCAAUGAAAUCUUGAUUGAGCAUUGACAUAAUGAAAUAUUAAUCAUAGAUAUAAAUAGGAAUCUCAUGUGAAUCUACCUUACUCUUUGAUGAUAUUUCUUGAUAGAAUAAUUCACGUGAUUUUAUCUCCUUCUUACUUGAAAAAAACAUUAAAAUAGUUGUUUCUUCAUGUGGGAGACGGUGAAAGUGGUAAAGGCAAGGCGCAAGGUUGUGCUUGUGACAACCUUGGGGAAGAUUUCGGUAAGUUUCCUUGAAAUUUACACACUGACUCGUUUACUUAAUUGCCAGGUUGAAGUAAUUAAACUAAUUGGUGACUUCAAUUAAGUUUUCUGAAUUUUAUGAAUAAACUGUGAAUUAGCUGCUGUUGAUUUUGGGUAUGUAGCAAAUCAAACGUGUUGGAAAUUUGAAGAAAUGGUUGUCCAAACUGACUGGUGUUUUCAUCUGACAUAUCAAGAAAUGAUUGUCUAAAAUGGCUGCUGUUUCCAGAACUUAUUAUAUCUGAUAUUUAAGAAAUGGUUGUCCUUAAUGACCGUUGUUUUCAUAAUUUAUUAUGUCUGACAUACGAAGAAAUGGUUGUCUAAAAUAGCUGUUGUAUUAUGUGUGAGUUUAAUUCAUUUCUUCUGAAUAAAAUUCGAUUCGUUUUAAAAUUUUGAUAAAAAAAUUAAAAAUUUAAAUUAAAUAGUUUUAAUUAAUCGAAUUAUUUGGAUCAACUCGAAUAAAAAAAUUUAAAUUUUUGGUUUAAUUCGAAUAUGAACUCAAAUAUGAAUUACACAAUUCGAGUUAUUUGAAAAUUUAAAUAAAAAAUACAAAAUUACGUCAUUUUGAUAAAUAUUUACUUCCUCUAAAGUUAAAAGAUAAAAUUACAUUGUUUUGAUAAAUAUUUACCCAUCAGCCUUAUUUUCUUUCUCAUGUGAUAUGAUUACAAAUGUGAUAUGAAAGGAUUAUAUUCUUAUAAUAUAAGUUAACAUAUUAAAUUUGCUUACGAACUUUUGUUUUGUAUUUAUAUCCUCAAAUAAUUUGUGUUUUGUUAUAAUAUUAGUUAUAGAAAUGUCACUGAGUUGAUUACUCAGCAUUCGGUUUGCUUUCCGUGCGCAGGUUAGGUUCAAUUGUGUGCACUCAUUGUUAUCAGCAUCCAGCAGAAAAUCUCACACUCAUCGAGUUGGUGAAACUCUUACUAUUUUGGUUGGCAUGUACUUAUAGGUUUUUAUGUUAUAUUAAGCUUAGUUAGAGAAUUAUUUCAUACUUUGAGACAUAUAAAUAGACAAGUUAAUUAAUGACUUUGAAUUAUCUUACUAUAAACAAGGAAUCACUCGAAAAUUAAUUAAUGACUAUGAAUUAUUAUUUUAUUAAAUAAUUGAAUUUUGAGGUGAAAUUUUAUUACUAUUUCAUCGUGACAAGUUAAUUAAAUUAAUUUGUUCAUAGAUUUUUAUCGAUAAAGUUGUCAUGAGUUUAACGAAAUUAGAAUUGAGUUGAAAAAAUAAUUUAGUUAAUUUAAUUAAUUAAAAGAAUAAAAAAUAUUUCGAGCAUAAAAAAUAUUUAUUGGAAUAAAAAUUAUAUGAGUUGGUUUAAAAACAAAACAACCCAUAUAAUUAACCCGAUAAAUAAAAAAUGCCCAAAUAGACCCGAUAUAGGAGGGAGGGGAUGCAAACCAGUAUAGACCCAUUGAACUAGAUUUUUAUUGUUUUUUAAUCUUGAUGAUUUAUUUAAACGAACUAGACAGACCAAUUGAAACUAUUAGACCAACAAAUCAAUAACUUGUUAUGUUUGAAUUCUGAAAACGUUCGAUAAAGAACAUAAGUGUUCAGAUCCUCUCAAAUAUCGGAUUACAUCUUCAACCUUAUGUGGAACAUUUAACACUUCCAUGGGAGAAAAUACAAUCAAUGUUCCAAACCCUAAUUCGAUUUUGAUGUGAACAACAUCUCUUUACGACGCUUCAAGUAAGCAACACAAGUAAACACCCCAAUAUAAUUGAAUAUAUAUGUUUUUUUUAUAAUUAAUGUAUCAUAUAUAUUAAUUUUACUCAUGUGUUGAUUUGAUGAUCAGGGUGUUCACCGUCUCAGAUGUGAUCUGCGUUCAAGUCACGCUAAUCGCAUUGCUGUUAGGACUUUGCUCUCCCCUUAUAAAAAAAAAAGAUCAUUUAUCUUUGAUGUUUUAGCAAACGUGUCAUCAUGUCGAGGGAGCAUUUGACUAUAAAAUCAAACCGUGCUAAUGUGUCGUCGAUAUGUAAUAAGAGAAAAAUAUUUUAGAAUUGUUUUAGAACUAACUACUACUUAAAUUAUUCGAAAAUUCUAUUUUAUUAUAUAUUAUAUGUGUAUGUAUGCUAACAUAUAGAAUAAACAAAAAUAAAAUAAAAUAAGAUUACUUCUUUUUUCAUGUUUCUUACUCGUUGAAUUCUGUAAUAAUCCGAUUUUUUGUAGUGUUGGAAAGUGAAAUAUCGACACUUCAUUUCCGUAAAUCAAAUUCGUAAAAUUCAUUAUUAAAUCACACCCAACAAGUUUGAGACCUUAAGAAUUUUUUUUAAAAACUUUUGAAAUUUGCAUGUUAAAUAGUUGUUUCUUCAUGUGGGAGACGGUCAAAGUGGUAAAGUCAAGGAGCAAGCUUGUGCUUGUGACGGUCAAAUUCAUGUUUCCUUGAAAUUUAUACACUUACUCCUUUACUUAAUUCCCAGGUUGAAGUAAACUAGUUGGUGACUUCAAUUAAGUUGUCUGAAUUUUAUGAAUAAACUGUGAAUUAGCUGCUGUUGACUUCGGUAUGUAGCAAAGAAAACGUGUUGGAUAAAUGAAGAAAUGGUUGUCCAAAAUGACUGUUGUUUUCAUAAUAUAUUUUGUCUGACAUAUGAAGAUAUGAUUGUCUAAAAUGGCUGCUGUUUCCAGAACUUAUUAUGUCUGACAUUUAAGAAAUGGUUGUCCAAAACGGCCGUUGUUUUCAUAAUUUCCGACAUAUGAAGAAAUGGUUGUCUAAAAUGGCUGUUGUUCGGUUAUGGUGUGAGUUUAAUUCAUUUCUUUCUUCAAUAGUUGGUUGUAUUCUUAUGUUGGUAAGUGGGGUGAAUAAAAUUCAAUUCGAUUUUAAAAAUUUGAUAAAAAAUUUAAAUUUUAAAUUAAUCGAGUUAUUUGCAUCAACUCGAAUAAAAAAUCAAUUUUUUUGGUUUAAUUCGAAUAUGAACUCGAAUAUGAACUCGAAUAUUACACAAUUUCGAGUUAUCUGAAAAUCUAAAUAAAAAAUACAAAAUUACGUUGUUUUGAUAAAUAUUUACUCCCUUCAAAGUUAAAAGGCAAAAUUACGUUGUUUUAAUAAAUAUUUACCCAUCAUCCUUAUUUUCUUUCUCAAAUCCCCCACUUUCGCUUUUUCCUUUACUCAAAAGUAACUUAAAAGCUUGUACUUCAUCUAUUAGUUGAAUAAUCAGUCCAUGUAAACGCAAUAUUGAGUAUAAAUAAUAGGAUUCAUUAACUAGACUCGAAUUUUUUUUACUCGAUUCAUCUCAAUUUAAAAAAAAAUACUAAUUGAGUUCAGUUGCUAAAAUAGUAUUUAUCAACUUGACUAACUUUUUUUUUUUACUCUAUUGAAUGCUCACCUCUACUGGUAAGUGGGAUCAAAUUUGAAGGAAAAGUUUUAAUGAUUGUCAGUUGUUGAGUGAGCUGUCGUGACAUGCAAAACCCAUGCAUGCUGUCCGAAUAUGACUUAUUGUUAUGAAAUUAAUGUCCUGCCGGAGUUGAUUAAAUAUUAAUGUCCUAUGCUGCAAUUAAAAGAUGUCAUAGUGCUGUAUCGUGUUUAAAAUCUGAGUAUUUAUGUUGUCUUAAAACAUUAUCUGUAUGGAUUAAUUACUGUAAUUUAAACCGUUUUAAUAAUGAAAUCGUGAUAUCUUAAAGCACAAAUUGUGGUUAAAAUGUAUAAAUCUGGGAGUAAAUCGAGUUUUAUUUGUGGAAUGACAUGUUAUUUUAGAAGUACAAAUUGAGUGUUGCUAAUGGUGAGUUCUUUCAGUUUUUAUCAAUUUAAGUGUAAUGUUUAAUUGAAUUUUUGAGUUUACAGAUCGGGAAUUUGAAGGUGAAUAUGUGACAACCUGUUGAUACGAUUACAAAUGUGAUAUGAAAGGAUUAUAUUCUUAUAAUAUAAGUUAACGUAUUAAACUAUUUACGAACUUUUGAUUUUUAUUUAUGUCCUCAAAUAAUUUAUGUUUUGUUAUAAUAUUAGUUAUAGAAAUGUCACUGAGUUGAUUACUCAGCAUUGCAGGUUAGGUUCAAUUGUGUGCACUCAUUGUUAUCAGCAUCCAGCAGAAAAUCUCACACUUAUCGAGUUGGUGAAACUCUUAUAUUUUGGUUGGCAUGUACCUAUAGGUUUUUAUGUUAUAUUAAGCUUAGUUAGAGAAUUAUUUCAUACUUUGAGACGUAUAAAUAUACAAGUUAAUUAAUGACUUUGAAUUAUCUUACUAUAAACAAGGAAUCACUCGAAAAUUACUUAAUGACUUUGAAUUAUUAUUUUAUUAAAUAGUUGAAUUUCGAGGUGAAAUUUUAUUACUAGGUCAUCGUGACAAGUUAAUUAAAUUAAUUUGUUCAUAGAUUUUUAUCGGUAAAGUUGUCACGAGUUUAACAAAAUUAGAAUUGAGUUGAGAAAAUAAUUUAGUUAAUUUAAUUAAUUAAAAGAAUAAAAAAUAUUUCGAGCGUAAAAAAUAUUUAUUGGAAUAAAAAUUAUAUGAGUUGGUUUAAAAAACAAAACAACCCAUAUAAUUAACCCAAUAAAUAAAAAAUGCCCAAAUAGGUCCAAGUUAGACAUUGUUUGAUAAACCACUAAGCAAAUUUAAUCAAUUAAAAACUAAUAUUUUCAAUGAUUAGUAUUUUACACAUGUUUGAUAAUCCAAAAUAAAAAAUAAUCCAAUAGAAUUUUUUUCUAUAAAAAAGUGUGGAAAAUGAUGAGUAAAUAAAAUUUAAUUAUCACUUAAUGGAGAAUAUUUUCAAUAAACUCAAUUUUAUUUUAUUUAUUUUAAUAUUAUGUUAUCCUAUAAAAACUAAAUGUUUAAAAAUAUAAAAAGUCAAAAAUAUCUAUAUAAUCUUAUAAGUUACUUAGUAGAUUAAAUAUUUUUUUAGUAAUUUCCUAAAUUGGGACAUAGUUGGUGGGUGACACCGACUCAGUAAAAAGCUUAAUAAAUAACUAGAAAUUCUAUCACACAUGUAUGCAUAGAGUACCACAAAUUUCGAAUGCAAAUGUAUGUUUAAGAAAUUAGCGUACAAUAAAUAAUGAAAUAUAUGAUUUGAAACUAAUUAAUAAUAACAUGUGAAACAUAUUUGAUGUUAAAAUGAAAAAAUAAAUAAAAAGUUGUUUAUCAUUUUGUUGUCUUCAAUCUUAAGUCAGUGUCGAGUUAACUUGUGACAUCAACUCAGUUAAAAGCUUUAUUAAUAUUAACUAUAUAUACAACUGGUGGAGGUAAUAAAACGUGCGUAAUAAAAUAAAAAUGUAUAAAAUUAUCAAAAUAAAACUUUAGUUGAAUGGUAAAUUAAAAACUUUAAUAGUACAAUUGGCAUGGGUUUAAUUCCUACCAUUUUUUAAAGUGACAAGAAUAAAUUAACCUUGAAUAAUAUUACUUAUUUUAAUUACGUAAAGGCCUUCUCGUAAUUUCCUAACCGAGUUGGUGCCUAGUGACUUGUGACACCAACUUAGUCAGUGCUUUAUUAAUACUAGAAAUCCUAUUACACGCGUAUGCGUGUGGAAACUACAAAUUUAGAAUACAAAUGUGUGUUUAAAAAUAACAUACAAUAAAUAAUAAAAUGUAUAGGUUGACACUAAAUAAUAAUAAUAACACGUGAAAUUUGAAGAUAUUAAAAUGAAAAUGAAUAGAUUAAAAUUCGACUUUCUAAUAUGUUAAAAGAAAUGGGAAAGGUAUGAUAACAGAGGGAGAAACAAAAGAGAAUGGAAAAAAAGAGGAAAGUUUAAAGAACAUAAAAGAAAAAAAUUAAAUUACUUAAAAUGAAAAAAAUAUGGGGAUCAAUUGUAUAAUUUAACCUAAAAUUUUGUUUGAAAUGAUGAUUUAACGUGCCACAUCAGCUUACCGUUACACCAUUAACAACGAUUAAUGGCUCAGUGAGUAAAAUGUUACAACAUGAUAACGUAAAUGACUAAAACGUAACAUUUCAAACAUAAGUGACUAAAACGUAACCUAAGGUAAACAAAAAUGACCAUGGGUGUAGUUUACCCAUCUUAAAAAGACUGGUGAUCAAAUUCUACUCUUUUGAAAAAAAUUUAAUCCCAGAUGUAACUAAAAAAAAAAGAGAAAUUGACCAAAAUUUUUGGCCUUAAAAGUUAGAAUUUGUCGCUAAGACUUUUUUAUACAAAGAUGAAGCGAUAAUGUUAGGACUUUGUUCUCCUCUUAUAAUUCAAAAAAAAAAAGAUAAUUUAUCUUUGAUGUUUUAGAAACGUGUCAUCAUGUCGAGGGAGCAUUUGACUAUAAAAUCAAACCAUGCUAAUGUGUCGAUAAAUAAUAAGUGAAAAAUAUUUUAGAAUUGUUUUAGAAAAUUCUAUUUUUUUUUAUAUUAUAUAAGUUCAACCGUCAAAGAUAGCAAAUCAAACGUGUUGGAAAUUUGAUGAAAUGGUUGUCCAAAAUGACCGUUGUUUUCAUAAUUUAUUAUGUCUUGACAUAUGAAGAAAUGGUUGUCUAAAAUGGCUGUUGUUCGGUUAUGGUGUGAGUUUAAUUCAUUUCUUACUCUUGUGUUGGUAAGUUAGGUGAAUAAAAUUUGAUUCGAUUUCAAAAUUUUGAUAAAAAUUUUAAAUUUUAAAUUAAAUUGUUCGAAUUAAUCAAGUUAUUUGGACCAACUCGAAUAAAAAUCAAUUUUUUUGUUUAAUUCGAAUAUGAACUCGAAUAUGAAUUACACAAUUCGAGUUAUCUGAAAAUCUAAAUAAAAAACACAAAAUUAUGCCGUUUUGAUAAAUAUUUACUUCCUCUAAAGUUAAGAGGCAAAAUUACGUUAUUUUGAUAAAUAUUUACCCAUUAGCCUUAUUUUCUUUCUCGAAUCCCCCCACUUUCCCUUUUUCCUUUAAUAAAAUUAACCUAAAAGUUUGUACUUCGUCUACUAGUUAAAUAAUCAGUCCAUGUAAACACAAUAUUGAAUAUAAAUAAUAGGAUUUGUUAACUCGACUCGACUUGACUCAAAAUUUUUUUUACUCGAUUCGACUCAAUUUUAAAAAAAAAGUACAAAUUGAGUUCAAUUGCUAAAAUAGUAUUCAUCAACUUGGCUAACUUAAAUUUUUUUACUCUAUUGAAUGCUCACCUCUACUGGUAAGGAUGAAAAUUGAGGGAAAAAUUUUGAUGAUUGUCAGUAGUUGAGUGAGUUGUCUGUGACAUGCAAAACCCAUGCAUGUUGUUCGAAUAUGACUUAUUGUUAUGAAAAACCUGGCUCUGAUACAAUGUUAAGAUGAUAAAAGAAAUAUGAAGAAUAUUUUCUACGUUUAUGAUUAUCUUUACAAAUGAAUAGAGCUACAGAAUAUAUACAGCUAAUGUGUAACUAAUUACAUUGCUAAUUACACUAUACAGCUCACUACUUUAACUAACUGUACACAAAUAACUAAUUUAGUUUUUUUCUACAAAGAUGUCAUAGUGCUGUAUCGUACGUGUUUAAAAUGUGAGUAUUUAUGUUGUCUUAAAACAUUAUUUGUAUGGAUUAAUUACUGUAAUUUAAACCGUCUUUAUAAUGAAAUUGUGAUAUCUUAAAGCAGUAAAUUGAGAGGAGUUUAUCGUGCUUUGGUGCCGUGGUUAAAAUGUAUAACUCUGGGAGUAAAUCGAGUUUUAUUUCUGGAAUAACAUGUUAUUUUAGAAGUACAAAUUGAGUGUUUCUAAUGGUGAGUUCUUUCAGUUUUUAUUGAUUUAUGUGUAAUGUUUAAUUGAAUUUUUUAGUUUACAGGUCGGGAAUUUGAAGAUGGAUAUAUAACAACCAGUUGAUAUGAUGACAAAUGUGAUAUGAAAGUAUUAUGUUCUUAUAAUAUAAGUUAACAUAUUAAUCUGCUUACGAACUUUUGAUUUUUAUUUAUGUCCUCACAUAAUUUAUGUUUUGUUACUAUAUUAGUUAUAGAAAUGUCACUGAGUUGAUUACUCAACAUUCGUGUUUGCUUUCCGUGCACAGGUUAGAUUCAAUUGUGUGCACUCAUUGUUAUCAGCAUCUAGCAGAAAAUCUUGCACUCAUCGAGUUGGUGAAACUCUUACUAUUUUAGUUGGCAUGUACCUAUAAGUUUUUAUGUUAUAUUAAGCUUCGUUAGAGAAUUGUUUCAUACUUUGAGACGUAUAAAUAGACAAGUACUUAAUUAAUGACUUUGAAUUAUCUUACUAUAAAAAAGGAAUCACUCAAAAAUUAAUUAAUGACUUGGAAUUAUUAUUUUAUUAAAUAAUUGAAUUUCGAGGUGAAAUUUUAUUACUAAUUCGUCGUGGUUUCAUAAGGACAAGUUAAUUGAAUUAAUUUGUUCAUAGAUUUUUAUCAGUAAAGUCGUCAUUAGUUUAACGAAAUUAGAAUUGAGUUGAGAAAAUAAUUUAAUUAAUUUAAUUAAUUAAAAGAAUAAAAAAUGUUUUGAGCAUAAAAAAUAUUUAUUGAAAUAAAAAUUAUAUGAGUUGGUUUAAAAACAAAACAACCCAUAUAAUUAACCUGACAAAUAAAAAUGCCCAAAUAGACCCGAUAAAGAUUGAUGAUCAAAUUCGACUCUUUUCAAAAAAAAAUAAUCCCAAUUUUAACUAAAAAAAGAGAAAUUGACAAAAAUUGUAGCCCUAAAAGUUAUGAAUUUAUCACUAAGAUAUUUUUUUUAUACAAAUAUGAAGUAUUAUUAAAGAUUUUAUAUAAUAAUAUAAGGUAAUGUCAUGCAUGAUGCAUCUUUAUUAAUUGUUUUUUUUAAUUUGAAUAAAUGUUUUUAGAAAUAAAUUAGUGGCUGGUUGAAUUGAUUAGGUCAUUAAUUCGUCGAUUUGAUAAGUUCGAUAAAGAUAUAAUAAUAAAUUCAUAAAAAAAAUAUUUAAGAAAUCCAAUUCAACAGUCAAUUUAAUUGAUUUUUUAACAGGUUCAAUCGAUUUGAUAUUUUUUUUAAAUUUAUAUUUUGACCUAUUUCCGGUCCAACCGAACAAUCCAAUCCUAUUUAAACACAAGUAAAAACCCCAUAUAUAAUUUUGAACCCCAUAUAUAAUUGAAUAUAUAUGUUCUUUUUUAUGAUUAAGGUAUCAUAUAUAUUUAUUUUACCCGUGUGUUGAUUUGAUGAUCGAGGUGUUCACCAUCUCAGAUGUGAUUUGGGUUCAAGUCAUGCUAAUCUUGUUGUUGUUAAGACUUUGCUCUCCUCUUACAAUUCACCAAAAAAAGAUAAUAUAUCUUUGAUGCAUCCACGUUGCCAAACUUUGUUGUUGGUAUGUGGAUUUCCAUCCUUUCAUGUUGCCAUAUUCUUUGACUUUAACCUUCUUGCAUAUUGUUGAGAUUCAUUGCUUUAAUUUCAUCUAAAUGCAAUGAGUCAGAUGAAAGUCUUGGUGAGUUACAAGCUUCCCACGUGCUUCUGAUUUGUUCCAGAAUGUGAGAUGGAUAAUCUUCAAAUUCUAUAUCAGCUAUCUUUUUUAAUAGCUUCAAAGAUUCUUCAUCUCUUUCUUCCUAGGUGUUUCCAGUGUAGUAUGCCAGUAUUCUUCUGCCAUCAGUCCAUAGAUGAUAAUUUUUUUGCUGGAAAAGAUCUUGGGCUGUUGCUAUUAUAUCAAUCCCUACUUGGGUUUGAUAAUAACUUGGAUCAUUAUAACACCUGUCAAUAUUUUUUGUCAAGUGUUCUUUGACCUCUUUUAUAGCGGAUAAUCAGGGACUUCCAAUUAUUCUUUGAAUAAUCCAUAUUUGAUAUGGCUGAUAAAAUUUUUCUUUUUCAGCUAUACCAAUUAAACUACUUAUUUCAAUAUGAAAAUAGUAGAAGAAAUCAUCAUUGUUUAUGAUGUUUUGUAAUUUAGAUUUUACCAUUGCUGGAAAAUCUUUUAAAUGAUGAAAAGAAAAGUUUUGUACAACUAUUUCUUUUACAAAACCCCAUUCAAUACUUGUUAUAUCGAACGGUUCGUGAUCCAAUCUAAAUUUUAUAGUUGGAAAACUUUCUCCUAUAAAAUUGGUAAAAACAUAAGAUUAUAGAAAAUAUUCAGAAAAAGAUUUUUCAAAUUGUCUACUGGUUGUAGAUAACUCUAUUUAUUUUAGAAAAUAUUUCUAGAGGUAAAAUCUGUCUAGAUUUAUUAUAUAAAUAGAUCCUAAAUACCUUAUUCACAAUAGGACUGUUUUUCCCUUUAUGAAUAAAAUAUUAAAUUAUAUCAAGAAGAUUAUUUAUCUCCUUAAUAUCCAUAAUAAAGAGUUGGAAUUCAUCCCAAUCUAUGUAUAAAAUAGAUUUUAAUAAUAAAUCUUCAGCUUCAUUUUCCUUAGUUGUUUUUUCAACUUAAAGUAAUGAAAAUGGUGUAAGAGCUCUCCUGAAAUUUGCUCUUUGAUUUAAAAUAUGGGUUUUCCAUAUUUCGUUUAUAAAAUUAUAAAAUUCUGGCGGUAUACCAGGACUAAAAAAAUCUUUUAUUUCUGGAAAUUGUUGUUGUUUCAACAAAUUUUCUGCAUCCUUAAUAAUAUCAGCAUAACUGGUUUGAAAUGCCGAAUUUGGAUCUUGGAACCAUUGUGAUUGACUUACUGUUUUUGGUGUCAAUGACAAACAAGUUCCAAUUGGUUGAUUUACCAUUGGAUAUGGCACAUAAUGUCCUUGAUUAGGAUAAAAUGAUAUUUGUGCAGGUACAAAUCCUUGUUUGGAAUUUGUUGUUGUUUUCCCUUUGUUAGGCUUUUUGUGAAUGGUAGUCCAUGUAGCGACCUAAAAAUUUGGAUACGAUGGCACGGGCGCUAGUCGAAAUAAUUAUUGAAAAAUUAAAAACAUCGUCUCGAUUUUAUUUGCAAAAGGAGUUGCCACCGAUCUUUUUUAGGUGUGAUCGGACACCUAAUAAAUUCUCUUUUUAGAAGAAAUAUUUAUUUUUAAAUUUUCCUAAAAAGAGGUAAUUUUAGGUCUGCGUGAAAAUCCAAAGAAAAUUAGGGUUCGGGAGUCGGUUAUCGCGAGGAAGGUAUUAGCACCCUCGCGACGCCCAAAAUUGGUAUCUCGUUAAACGCGCGUUUUCUUAAUUUUCAAAAAUACAAGUUCAAUUUAAUAUUUAAUUGUGAUCCGAUUGAAACUUGAGAAAACCUUUUUUUUUGUUUUUAAACACGAGAACUUUGAAACACAAUAAUAAUUUUUGAAAACACGAAGAUUUUUGAAACACGAAAUUUUUUUGACACGAAAAAUUUUGAAAACACGAAAAUUUCGAAAACUUGAAUUUUUUUUUAAACAUGAUUUUUUUUUAAAAAACACGAGAAUUUUUUGAAAACACGAAAGCACGAAAAUUUUGAAAACACGGGAAUUUUUUUAAAACACGAAAAUUUUUGAAACAUGAGAAUUUUUUGACACGAAAAUUUCGAAAACAUGAAUUUUUUUUAAAAUACGAAUUUUUUUAAAAAACAUGAAAACAUGAAAAUUUUGAAAACACGAAAAUUUUUGAAACAUGAGAAUUUUUUGAAAACACGAAAAAAUUUUUAAACAUGGGAAUUUUUGAAAACACGGAAAUUUUAAAACAUGGAAACUUUAAAAACACGAAUUUUUUUUUAAAACACAAGAUUUUUAUUUUUUUAUUUUUUUAAAUACCGUAUUUAACACGAACCGGUGACAUUCACCCCGUUAUGGCGAUGAAACCAUCGAAUUAGUGUUAACUCAAUUCAAUUUAAUAUUUAAUCGGGAUUCUAAUAAAACACGAGAAUUUUUAUUAAAAUACGAGGAUUUUUGAAUAUUUUUAUUUUUAAAAGGGCGUCCCGAAUUUAACACGAGCUAUCGAUAUCCACCCAACAUAGCGAUAAAUUUGAUGACUCGAUGCUAAAUCGGUUCGUUGCCUUAUGCAUUAAAAUAUUAUUUUUUUUAAAAUAUGCAAUUAAAAUGACAUAAUAAUAUUUAUGAAAACUAUUUUUAAACAUACUAAUUUAAAUUAAAUAAAACACCAUUUAAAUACAUUAAAUAAAAUAAAAUAGAUUAAAAAGAAAAAAAAAUUACCCAAAAAGGCCCUUUUCCUUUUUUUCGGUUUGGGCCUCAGUUGGCCCGCUUCACUGCUGCAAUCGGCCCGCUGGAGCUGCUGGGGUAUUGGGCCUGCACUGGGUCAAGUCCAUUGCCCCCCCGACUGCUGGUGGCUUACCAAAACCCCGCUGCUGUUUUUAUUUUUUUAUUACUUUUUUCUCUCUUUUUCUUCCUCUUUUUUUCUUCUUCUCUUCUUCUUGUCUCAAAGCCUUGGCCCUUCUUUUUCACCGCCGUCGAUGUCUCCUGGGUGCGGUGGUUGGACGUUCGCCGGCGUUCUCCUUUCCCUCCUCUCUUCUUCUUCUUUCUUCACUUCUUUCUACUUUACUUUUUGUUUUUGCUUGCUUGCUGCUAUUUUCCUUUCUUUUGUUUAUGCUUGCACAUUUCUUAGCUUGACUUCGGCGAGGAGCAACGAUGAUCGUUGCACGGCGAUCGUGGUGGCGUGGGUACGGUGGCGGUGAGCGUGGGAUCGGCCCAUGGGAGUAUUUUUUGCUGCUGGAAUUUUCUGCUAUUUUUUUUGCUUUGGUUGCCGAAAAUCCUCCUCCCUUCUCUUCAAUUUUUUCUUUUUAAAAGCUCCAAAUUUUGUCCUCUUUCUCAUUGUUUGCAGGUGGCAGAGGAGCCAUGAUGGCCUAGGGGGGCUGCUGGAGUAGCUCGGCUGGGAGGGGUACGCUCGGCUGGUGCAGCGGCGAUUAGACAAGUCCAGAAGGACUAAAUUGCAUAGGAUGCAAAGCUUCUGGGGCAAAAGUGUAAUUUUAGCAAAAAUAUGGGCCAAAAUGUAAUUUCUUGAGAGUUUAGGGGUCAAAGUGAAUUUUUGAGAAAGUCUAAGGGUCAAAAUGUAAUUUUAGAAAGUUUUGGGUCAAAAUGUAAAUUUUAGAAAAGUUUAGGGUUAAAAUGUAAAUUUUGAAAAGUACAGGGGUUAAAUGAAAAAAUAAAAAAUUCUUUUUUUUUCAAACACGAAAUUAAUCUCGGACAAAAUUCAGUGAUUACAGCUGCCCCUCUUUGCUCAUCGCUAUGAAACAGGGAUAGAGCAAAGACUAAAAAGCACUGAAUUUUGUUCGACCAUCUAAAAUUUUCCUCUUUAUUUGAAAAGCAGAAAUCGAGAACAGCUCGGCGUGCGACCCGAGACUCAACUCACCUCUUGAAUUAUGAGUUGAUCUUCGAAAAACAAAAAUCGAAAAUACCUCGACAUGUGCCCCGAGGCUCAACUCACCUCUCGCAAUAUGAGUUGAUUUUUGAAAAACAUGAAUUGAAAAAUACCUCUGCGUGACCCGAGGCUCAACUCACCUCUCGCAAUAUGAGUUGAUUUUUUGAAAAACAUAAAUUUAAAAGAAAUACCUCGGCAUGGUCCAAGGCUCAACUCACCUCUCGCAAUAUGAGUUGAUUUUUUUGAAAAACAUAAAUUNNNNNNNNNNNNNNNNNNNNNNNNNNNNNNNNNNNNNNNNNNNNNNNNNNNNNNNNNNNNNNNNNNNNNNNNNNNNNNNNNNNNNNNNNNNNNNNNNNNNUGAAGUAAACAAAAUUAAAAAAAAUACCUCAGCGUGACCCGAGGCUCAACUCACCUCUGUAUUAUGAGUUGAUUUCUUGCAAAAAACAGAAUUUUAAAAAUAUUUCUUGAAAGAAACAAGGUUUCAAAAAACAUCAGGUGAAACUAAAAGCCUUCAUCUUCACUGAUUCUGUGCAGCUUUCUCCUAGUAUUCCUUGCUCUACCGGUAUACCUGUAUACGUCAUGUAUGAUGUUAUUACGAUAUGCACAUGUUUGUCCUAAAUGCUUUUGUGUCUACAUGAUCAUGCAAUGCACCGUAGGCUAUUUGUCACGUGCCCCACUUUUGAUUUUUGUGAGGGUCCGCAUUCAUUUCCUCAAUUCUUGACUUUUCUCUCUAAUUUUGUACUCAUCCUCAAGUUCUGUGAGUAAUCUACAUUUCUUCGUAUAUCGCUCUCUUGCCCCCUGCUGAACAUUGUUCCUACUUUGGGGCCCUUAUAUUUAUCAAAUUCUCAUCCAGGUAAUGCUCAACAUUCCUUUUGUUUAGAGUAUGUCAUCUUACUAUUUAUCAUUUAAAUGAAUCAAACACAAGAUGCAUGACAAAAGUGGCAAAGUAGGCAUGAAAGAAAUACCUCACAUUCAUUUUUUAAAGCAACGAAAGAAAUUGACAAGGAAAGUUCAACAAAUAAAUUGUCAUAAAGAAAAGAAAGCGAAUUCAAUGGCCAGAAAUGCUCUAGAUAUCCAAUGCAUGAACUUUCCACGUUUCUUCAUCCUGGAUCUUUUCGAGCACGGCUUCUUGUGUAGAAGAUUUUGAGCUUCUGAGAAUGCUUCAAAUAUUGUAACCUUGCCAUUCGACUCCCUGUUCAAGUCGCCUUGCUCCUUAAGUCCGAGCCCACUUUGUUAGGACGCCCUUUUGGGUUUUCAUCCUAAUCUUUUUUGUUUAUCAAGACGCCCUUUUUGGGUUUUCAUCUUGAUUUUUCUUUUUCUUUUCUUUGUUUUUUUUGUUUUUAUUUUUGUUUUUGUUUUUUUAUUUUUUUUGUCCCUUUUUUUAAGCAUAAUAUUUCUUCACAGCAUCUGAGUUCACUGGAUUAGGUAAUUCUUUCCCAUCCAUUUCAGUAAGAAUCAGAGCCCCUCUUGAGAAUGCCUUUUUUACAACGUAUGGUCCUUCCCAAUUUGGUGACCAUUUUCCUUGAAAGUCCUUUUGUAUCAGGAGGAUCUUUCUUAAAACGAGUUCCCCUUCGCGAAAUUCUCUUGGUCGCACAUUAUUAUCAUGGGCCGUGAUCAUUCUCUCCUGGUACAUCUGUCCAUGACAAAUUGCCUUCAAGCAUUUCCCUUCAAUAAGGUUUAGCUGGUCAUAUCGAACUCGAACCCAUUUCGAUUCUUCUAAUUUUGUCUCCAUCAUGACUCACAAGGAUGAGAUCUCUACUUCAAUAGGCAAAACGGCUUCCAUUCCGUAGACUAAUGAGAAAGGACUUGCUCUCGUAGAUGUCCGCACGGAGGUGCGGUACGCAUACAAAGCUAAUGGUAGCUUCUCGUGCCAAUCUUUAUAUGUCUCACUCAUCUUUCCGAGAAUCCUCUUAAUGUUUUUGUUGGCCGCUUCAACAGCUCCGUUCAUUUUCGGGCGAUAGUGUGAGGAAUUAUGAUGUUUUAUCUUGAAUUGCUCGCACAUUUCUUUCAUCAUUUUGUUGUUCAAAUUUAAAGCAUUAUCUGAGAUGAUUCUUUCAGGCAGACUAUGUCGACAUAUGAUUUCCUUUUUUAAGAACCUACAGACCGUAGCCUUCGUCAUAUUAGCAAACGAAGUGGCUUCUACCCAUUUUGUGAAGUAGUCUAUAACCACAAAGAUGAAUCGAUGUCCAUUGGAAGCUUUCGGGGAAAUCGGCCCUAUAACAUCCAUGCCCCACAUAGAAAAGGGCCACGGAGAAGUCAUGACAUAAAGGGGCGAUGGAGCUGCAUGAAUUUUAUCGCCAUAAAUUUGACACUUAUGACACUUUCGUGCGUAGCCAAUGCAAUCCCUUUCCAUCGUCAACCAAUAAUAACCAAGUCUCAUAAUCUGUCUAGCCAUGGUGAAACCACUAGCAUGCGUUCCACAAAUUCCCUCCUGAACCUCCUCAAGUAUCUUUCUAGCUUCAACAGUGUCCACACAUCUCAUGAGCACUUGAUCUUUCCCUCUUUUGUAUAGAAUAUCCCCGUCAAGAACAAAUCCAAUCGCCAUUCUUCUGAUUGUUCUUUUAUCAUUCUCGUUUGCUUGCUCGGGGUACCUUUGAUUCUUGAUGUACUCUAGGAUAUCAUGGAACCAUGGUCGUCCAUCGGACUUAUUCUCAUACUCAUGCUCGAGAUAUCGCGCUCCCCUUUACUGACUCUUGGCUCUCAUAUACAAUGUCAUACUCAGACAAUAGGAUCUGCCAUCGUGCCAUUCUCCCUCAUAUUCUGUGAACUUUUUACUGAGGCAGUAAAUUAUCUUUUCUCUUUUUCCUGACUCAUCAUGUUGCCCCAGCAUUCUUCAAUUCAAAUGGCAUCACUUUGUAGCAGAACGUUUCCCAUAUUGUGACGAAUGUGGUUUUCUCCAUAUAUUCGGAAGCCAUCUUUAUCUGAUUAUAACCUGAGAAACUAUCCAUGAAAGAAAAUGAAUAAUGUUUUGUCGUGUUAUCCUGGCAUGUCUUGAUACGACCAAACAAAUAUAUCUUUGUACUCACGGAGCAAGGCGAUUAAAUUCUGUUUGGUGUUCUCCGAAACGGAAGUCCUAAUCUUCAGUUCUUGUUUCUUUUCUUCACUCCCUAAGUUCACUGUCUCAACAGAUUCUUGAUGAGGUAAAAUCUGUUUCUCUUCUUGUUCAACUAUUCUCUGUAAGUCAGGAGGCAGGUCACAAUUUUCAGCAUCUUCCUUGGCUUCGAAUUCUCCUAAACAAAUAGCCUUCUUGAAAUUAAUUUCAGGAUUUGUAACGGGAUUAUUCCUGCCAUAGAUAUCUGAGCACCUAAAAGAUGGGUAGAAAAGACAGCUAUAGAGGAGUAUCAAAGUAUUAGAAUCAACACUCAAUGAUAUGAUAUGGUAUGAAAUACAUAUAGGAGAAUGAUGUGAAGAGAAGUGAUAGUUACGAGACUAGUAGAAAUAAAAAGACCAUGACAAAAUGCAUCUUCAUCGAUGUUCAUUGAAAUGAUAAAGAGCAAGCAUAUGCUCUUACAAAAGGAAUCCCACUAUCUAGGGAUAUACAAAAUAAUGGAGAAUUAUCAUUGAGCAUUACUCUAGAGGGGAAUCAAAAACUACAAGGAGGUCCACAGAAGUCUAAUUGUUCAAAACAUAUCCUGGAGGACAAUGGCGUAUCAUUGAAACAUCCCCAAUUGCAUCACCCUCGUUGUCAACAACAUUUAUGCUGAUGUUCUAAAAUCCCUUUUCAUUUAAGGCGCUUCGCAGAUUGUUUUGCCCCUCAUCUUCAUUCGUUACCGAAUUCACAUUCCCAUCAGCAUGGUUAGGAAAAGGGCUUCCAGCCUCAUUACUAACACUAUCAAAUCGUAAAAUGCCCGCAUUGAUAAGAUCUUGAACCCUCCUUUUAAAGGCAAGGCAAUUUUCUGUAGAAUGCCCCUGAUUUCCAGCGUGAUACAUGCAACUAGCAUUAGGAUCAUACCAUUUUGGGUAUGGAGGCUUCAGGGGUGCCAUGUAAUGUGGUGAUAUUAAUUGAUUCUCUAAUAGUUUCGGGUAUAAUUCUCUAUAUGACACAGGAAUUGGGGUGAACUGAGGUCUCUCAGGAUUAGAUCUUGCUGGUCUUGCUCAUUUUUGGGUUGGCUUUGUGUGGGCAUGGUAUUUGGUGGGAACAUGGUGAACGGUCUUUGGUUGUUCAUGGCAUAAACGGGGUAAAGAGGAGGUGUUUGACAAUAAGGACUUUGGGAGGGAAAGUAGAAGUUUGAAGGCGGGCGAUAACGAGUUCGUGGUUGGGCUGGAUGCGGAUUGGAGGUAUAGUGGCUCUCAGUUCCGACCAUAUGGGUUUCUGCCUCUUUAUUCCUUACAGGUACUGUCUUUUUUGAACUUUCAGGGCCUUCCAUCCUCCCAUUCUUGAUGGCGUUUUCUAUAAGCUCCCCAGAUAUUACAAUGUCCUUUGUGGCACUUCCUACCAACUUAUCGUAAAAUGACACUUUCAGAGUAUUAAUGAAGAGGACCGUUAUCUCCGUCUUAGUUAACGGGGGUUCCACCUGAGCUGAGAUAUCCCUCCAUCUUUGUGCGUAUUGUCUAAAGGUCUCUGUCGGCUUUUUUUCCAUCAUUUGCAAAGUUAGUCGAUCAGGCACCAUAUCUGAUACAUGCUUGUAUUGCUCACAGAAUGCUGAUGCUAAGUCCUUCCAUGAUCGGAUCCUCUCUCUGCUGAGCUGAUUAUACCAUCGAAGAGCCGAUCCAACUAAACUGUCCUGAAAACAGUGUAUCAGCAAUUUAUCCUCAUUCACGUAAUCAGUCAUCUUCCGACAAAACAUGACGAGAUGCGCCUUUGGACAUCGCGUCCCAUCAUACUUUUCAAAAUCUGGUGCCUUGAAUUUUGAGGGUAGAACCAGAUCGGGCACCAGACUGAGUUCUUUAGCACUCAAAGCAGAGAAGACUUCAGCACCUUCUAUUGCCUUGAGCCUUUCUUCUAAAAUCUGGUAUCUAUCUUGACCGUCAUAAUCAUUAGUUUUCAAUUUUGCUAUUUCCACAGGAUCGUCCAGAUCUGGAACAAAUGGAUAUGCUGGAUUAACCCCGGAGUUCGAUACCAACAUACCUUGCCCCAAAUGAGCAGAUGGUGCAGGACGUUGUUCCAGGAUUGUAUGGGCGUGAGGUGGAGUAAAUCCUGGGGGAUAGAGUGGAUCCUGAUCAUUAUUAGCUCUUGACUAGGGCUCCAUGAUAUCAUGGCUCUGCAUGGGUCCCUUUCCUUUUACUAAAGCUGUCGUCAUUUCCAUCAUUUUAGCCAUUUGGUCUCUUUGCUCGAGUGAUUCUUCUCGAGAUCUCACCAUCAUAUCUGUUGCCUCUUAUUGUGACUUGGCCAAUUGCUCUUGUAACUCUCUUUGGACCCUUUCCAUCCUUUCGAUUUUUUCGUUAAGUUCAGCGUCCAUAGCUCUAGUUCUUAGACGUGUCCUGUAAAGAUGAUGUGAUUCCAGCCUUGUAGUACCGCCACUGUGGAUUAUGCGAUUUUUGCCUCAGUGAAUGGUAAGGGUGAUAUGUACAUGCAAUGCAUGAAUGAAUGAAUGACAAGUGAAUAUUAGUCAUGAAUAAAUAUACAAGUAUUUGGUGUUGAUUUCAAGACAGCCCCAUAUUUUGGCGUUUCAUUAAUCAAAAGAGUCCAUUACAAAAGAUUUGGCCAAUGAAGAUACCCCUAGUGCCUGAGUCUCAUUGUUUCCAAAUCCUAAUCAAGUAUUCGCGGUUAUUCUGACGAUGCUUUUUGGGUCCUCAAAGAUCAGUCUCAGACUAUAACAUUUUCCUCAAUUACUUGCGUAAUUGAUUCCUCCAUCAAAAACCCGUUUUUGGCAACCAAUCUCUAAUCAACACCAUCCUAAUGAGAUGCCUAUGAUGCAUGAUGAAAAAUAAAAUUAAGACAAAUAAACCUAGUUAGCAAUCACGGCAAAUAUAAACAAAGAAAAACUAUGGAAAAUCUAACAAACCGACCUAUUUUUUUUUUGUUUUAUCCCAUCAUGCUUUACAAAAAUAAACUUACCCCAUAUGCUCAUCAAUCUACCCGAUCAAAUUUAUUAAACAGACCAAAUUCCCUUGCAAAAAGUGUAAAUGUGAAAGAAAUAAAAGGUAAGAGGCGUUUCUCCCGUGUAUUUAUUUUGGUGACUAUUCAUCGGACAGAGGUUCGGCAUGACUCUAAUUGGGUGGCUCGUACGGUUCACUAUAUGUGGCUUUGGUUCUAGAGAGGUACUCGAAUUGUCCAUACUGUCACCUACUAAGGUUAGUACGAAGUCUCGGUUAUCGCCCGUCAUGGGCUUGCGAGCUCAAUUCUAGGGAUUACAUUUACUUAUGCCUAUGCGGAGGGACGAGUUAACUCACGAAAACAUAAGUCAUAUGUAACCCGGAAGUAUUUCACUAGCCUGUGCGGAGGGACGAGUUAACUCACGAAGGCGUAGCGUUUACUUCCACUUAAACGGAUGGAGCCCGGGUAGAGAGCUCAUGUUAUGCAAGAAUGCAAGUGCAUGGUGUGUGGGGAGAAACUCACAAACCUUUUUAUUUUUAUUUUUACUAAAAAAACAAACUAAAACCAUAAAACUUAAAGCUGAAAAAAAACACGAAAAUAAAACAGGUUAGAAAAAUAUUAAUUUCAAAACCGGAUGUAGAUGCAUGAUUUUUCAAAACAAAAUUCAAGGAUCACGAUUAAAAAUUAAAUUGAACAAGAAAUUUUAAAAAUUUUGACAACACGCGUUUAACAUCAGACUCGACUCUAAAAAAAAUGUCCCCAGCGGAGUCGCCAGCUGUAGCGAUCUAAAAAUUUGGGUACGAUGGCACGGGCGCUAGUCGAAAUAAUUAUUGAAAAAUUAAAAACGUCUCGAUUUUAUUUGCAAAAGGAGUCGCCACCGAUCUAUUUUAAGUGUGAUCGAACACCUAAUAAAUUCUCUUUUUAGAAGAAAAAUUUAUUUUUAAAUUUUCCUAAAAAAGAGGUAAUUUUAGGUCUGCGUGAAAAUCCAGAGAAAAUUAGGGUUCGGGAGUCGGUUACGCGCGAGGAAGGUAUUAGCACCCUCGCGACGCCCAAAAUUGGUAUCUCGUUAAACGCGCGUUGUCUUAAUUUUCAAAAAUACAAGUUCAAUUUAAUAUUUAAUUGUGAUCCGAUUGAAACUUGAGAAAACCUUUUUUUUUGUUUUUAAACACGAGAACUUUGAAACACAAUAAUAAUUUUUGAAAACACGAAGAUUUUUGAAACACGAAAUUUUUUUGAAAACACGGAUUUUUUUUUGAAAAUAAGGAAAUUUUCGAUACAUGAGAAUUUUUUGACACGAAAAAUUUUGAAAACACGAAAAUUUCGAAAACUUGAAUUUUUUUUUAAACAUGAAUUUUUUUUUAAAAAACACAAGAAUUUUUUGAAAACACGAAAGCAUGAAAAUUUUGAAAACACGGGAAUUUUUUUAAAACACGAAAAUUUUUGAAACAUGAGAAUUUUUUGACACGAAAAUUUCGAAAACAUGAAUUUUUUUUAAAAUACGAAUUUUUUUAAAAACACGAGAAUUUUUUUGAAAACACGAAAACAUGAAAAUUUUGAAAACACAAAAAUUUUUGAAACAUGAGAAUUUUUUGAAAACACGAAAACACGAAAAAAAAUUUAAACACGGGAAUUUUUGAAAACAAGAAAUUUUUUUUUAAAAACACGGAAAUUUUAAAACAUGGAAACUUUAAAAACACGAAAUUUUUUUUUAAAACACAAGAUUUUUAUUUUUUUUAUUUUUUUAAAUACCGUAUUUAACACGAAUCGGUGACAUUCACCCCGUUAUGGCGAUGAAACCAUCGAAUUAGUGUUAACUCAAUUCAAUUUAAUAUUUAAUCGGGAUUCUAAUAAAACACGAGAAUUUUUAUUAAAAUACGAGGAUUUUUGAAUAUUUUUAUUUUUAAAAGGGCGUCCCGAAUUUAACACGAGCUAUCGAUAUCCACCCAACAUAGCAAUGAAUUUGAUGACUCGAUGCUAAAUUGGUUCGUUGCCUUAUGCAUUAAAAUAUUAUUAUUAUUAUUUUUUAAAUAUGCAAUUAAAAUGACAUAAUAAUAUUUAUGAAAACUAUUUUUAAACAUACUAAUUUAAAUUAAAUAAAACACCAUUUAAAUACAUUAAAUAAAAUAAAAUAGAUUAAAAAGAAAAAAAAUUACCCAAAAAGGCCCUUUUCCUUUUUUUCGGUUUGGGCCUCAGUUGGCCCGCUUCACUGCUGCAAUCGGCCCGCUGGAGCUGCUGGGGUAUUGGGCCUGCACUGGGUCAAGUCCAUUGGUGGUGGACUGCUGGUGGCUUACCAAAAAUGGGCUGCUGUUUUUAUUUUUUUAUUACUUUUUUCUCUCUUUUUCUUCCUCUUUUUUUCUUCUUCUCUUCUUCUUGUCUCAAAGCCUUGGCCCUUCUUUUUCACCGCCGUCGGUGUCUCCUGGGUGCGGUGGUUGGACGGUCGCCGGCGUUCUCCUUUCCCUCCUCUCUUCUUCUUCUUUCUUCACUUCUUUCUACUUUACUUUUUUUUUUGCUUGCUUGCUGCUAUUUUCCUUUCUUUUGUUUAUGCUUGCACAUUUCUUAGCUUGACUUCGGCGAGGAGCAACGAUGAUCGUUGCACGGCGAUCGUGGUGGCGUGGGUACGGUGGCGGUGAGCGUGGGAUCGGCCCAUGGGAGUAUUUUUUGCUGCUGGAAUUUUCUGCUAUUUUUUUUGCUUUGGUUGCCGAAAAUCCUCCUCCCUUCUCUUCAAUUUUUUCUUUUUAAAAGCUCCAAAUUUUGUCCUCUUUCUCACUGUUUGCAGGUGGCAGAGGAGCCAUGAUGGCCUAGGGGGGGCUGCUGGAGUAGCUCGGCUGGGAGGGGUACGCUCGGCUGGUGCAGCGGCGAUUAGACAAGUCCAGAAGGACUAAAUUGCAUAGGAUGCAAAGCUUCUGGGGCAAAAGUGUAAUUUUAGCAAAAAUAUGGGCCAAAAUGUAAUUUAUUGAGAGUUUAGGGGUCAAAGUGAAAUUUUGAGAAAGUAUAAGGGUCGAAAUGUAAUUUUAUAAAGUUUUGGGGUUAAAAUGUAAAUUUUAGAAAAGUUUGGGGUCAAAUUGUAAAUUUUGAGAAGUAUAGGGGUUAAAAUGCAAAAAAGUAAUAAAAUUUCUUUUUUUUUUUUCAAGCACGAAAUUAAUCCCGGACAAAAUUCAGUGAUUACAGUCCAUUCACCAACUAUUAGAGGUCUUUUUACCCCUGUCCAUAGGACCUGCUAAGAUAGUCAACAAUUAUUAGUACAAUAAAUAUUUGAUACUAAUAAAUUAUUUUAAUUUAAUUUUACACCAAUUUUAUUUUUUUCUACUGUAUUUUCAUAGUAAUUGUUUUCUACAGACAACCUAAUAAAAUUUCUAUCAGAAAUUUCCGAUUAGACUUCCUAGUUUAAUUUCUAGCAGAAAAUGACUGUUGUUUUCAUAAUAUAUUUUAUCUGACAUGUGAAGAAAUGAUUGUCUAAAAUGGCUGCUGUUUCCAGAACUUAUCAUGUCUGACAUUUAAGAAAUGGUUGUCCAAAAUGAACUUGUUUUCAUAACUUAUUAUGUCUGAUAUUUGUCUAAAAUGGCUGCUCUUUCCUGAACUUAUUAUGUCUGAUAUAUGAAGAAACGGUUGUCUAAAAUGGCGUUGCUUGGUUACGGUGUGAGUUUAAUUCAUUUCUUUCUCGAAUGGUUGGUUGUAUUCUUAUUUUGGUAGGUGAAGUGAAUAAAAUUUGAUUCAAUUUCAAAAUUUUGAUAAAAGAUUUUAAAUUUAAAUUAAAUAGUUCAAAUUAAUCGAGUUAUUUGGAUCAAUUCGAAUAAAAAAAUCAAAUUUUUUGGUUGAAUUCGAAUAUGAACCCGAAUAUGAAUUACACAAUUCGAGUUAUCUAAAAAUCUAAAUAAAAAAAUAUAAAAUUACGUCGUUUUGAUAAAUAUUUACUUCCUCUAAAAUUAAAAGGUAAAAUUACGUUGUUUUGAUAAAUAUUUACCCAUCAACCUUAUUUUCUUUCUUGAAUCCCCCCACUUUCCCUUUUUCCUUUACUCAAAAUUAACCUAAAAGUUAGUACUUCAUCUACUAGUUAAAUAAUCAAUCCAUGUAAGCGCAAUAUUGAGUAUAAAUAAUAUGAUUCGUUAAAUCGACUUGACUUGACUCGAAAUUUUUUUACUCGAUUCGACUCAAUUUUAAAAAAAUACAAAUUGAAUUCGAUUGCUAAAAUAGUAUUCGUCAACUUGACUAACUUAAAUUUUUUUACGCUAUUGACUGCUCACCUCUACUGAUAAGUGUGAUGAAAAUUGAGGGAAAGGUUUUGAUGAUUGUCAGUUGUUGAGUGAGAUAUCGUGACUUGCAAAACCCAUGCAUGCUGUCCGAAUAUGACUUAUUGUUAUGAAAAUAAUUAAAUAUUAAUGUCCUAUGCUGCAAUUAAAAGAUGUCAUGGUGCUGAAUCGCGUUUAAAAUGUGAAUAUUUAUGUUGUCUUAAAACAUUAUCUAUAUGGAUUAAUUGCUUUAAUUUAAACCGUCUUAAUAAUGAAAUCGUGAUAUCUUAAAGCAGUAAAUUGUGGUUAAAAUGUAUAACUCUGGGAGUAAAUCGAGUUUUAUUUGUGGAAUGACAUGUUAUUUUAGAAGUACAAAUUGAGUGUUGCUAAUGGUAAGUUCUUUCAGUUUUUAUUGAUUUAUGUGUAAUGUUUAAUUGAAUUUUUGAGUUUAUAGGUCGGGAAUUUGAAGAUGAAUAUAUGACAACCAGUUGAUAUGAUUACAAACGUGAUAUGAAAGGAUUAUAUUCUUGUAAUAUAAGUUAACAUAUUAAACUGCUUACGAACUUUUGAUUUUUAUUUAUGUCCUCACAUAAUUUAUUUUUGUUAUAAUAUUAGUUAUAGAAAUGUUACUGAGUUGAUUAUUCAGCAUUCGGUUUGCUUUUCGUGUGCAGGUUAGGUUCAAUUGUGUGCGCUCAUUGUUAUCAGCAUCCAGCAGAAAAUCUCGCACUCAUCGUGUUGGUGAAACUCUUACUAUUUUGGUUGGCAUGUACCUAUUGGCUUAUGUUAUAUUAAACUUAGUUAGAGAAUUAUUUCAUACUUUAAGACGUAUAAAUAGACAAGUUAAUUAAUGACUUUGAAUUAUCUUACUAUAAACAAGGGAUCACUCGAAAAUUAAUUAAUGACUUUGAAAUAUUAUUUUAUUAAAUAAUUAAAUUUUGACGUGAAAUUUUAUUACUAGGUCAUCGUGGUUUCAUAAGGACAAGUUAGUUAAAUUAAUUUGUUCAUAGAUUUUUAUCGGUAAAGUUGUCGUGAGUUUAACGAAAUUAGAAUUAAGUUGAGAAAAUAAUUUAGUUAAUUUAAUUAAUUAAAAGAAUAAAAAAUAUUUUGAGCAUAAAAAAUAUUUAUUGGAAUAAAAUUAUAUGAGUUGGUUUAAAAACAAAACAACCUAUAUAAUUAACCCGAUAAAUAAAAAUGCCCAAAUAGAUCCGAUAUAGGAGGGAGGGGAUGCAAACCAGUAUGGACCCAUUGAACUAGAUUUUUAUUAUUUUUUAAUCUUGAUGAUUUAUUUAAACGAACUAAACAGACCAAUCGAAACUAUUAAACCAACAAAUCAAUAACUUGAUUGGUUCGAAUUCUGAAAACGUUCGAUAAAGAACAUAAGUGUUUAGAUCCUCUCAAAUAUUGGAUUACAUCACUUCCAUGGGAGAAAAUGCAAUCAAUGUUCCAAACCCUAAUUCAAUUUUGAUGUCAACAACAUCUCUUUAAGACGCUUCAAGUGAGCAACUAUCUUAUCGGUAUCAGGCAAGUUGUCUUUGAUUACAGGGACUGAUUUGAAAUUUUGGAUCCACGAGCUCACUCGAGGGAAUUUGUGUGGCUCAAAGACUUUAAGCCAUGCUGCGUCUUCGAUAGCCCCGAGCCAGUGAGCAACCAUGCAAAAUGCAAUGUCCACCAUGUUUAUCUCGUCUCCACCGAAGAGUUUUUUCCCUCCGAUUAGCACAUGUUCUUCCAUGGCUUCCAGCAUUUCCAGCCACUCCUUCACUACCGCCUGUUGUUCUUCACCUUCGGUUCGAUAAAGCUUUGCGAUUAUAGGACUUUGUUUUAAACAGAGAUUCUAGUAUCAGCCAUCAAAAUUUAUGUACCAAAAAAAUUUUCAAACUACAAAGAGCUAGAAUCUUAAUUUCAACUAGGUUAAAAUAUGUUACAAGUACUUGUAUUCUUUGUAUGUUUGCAAUUUAGUCCUACUAUUUUUUAUUUCAAGAAAUUUAAUCCCACUACUGUUAAAGUACUUUACGGGUUUGAAAUUUAACCACUACUCCCACAUCGGGGGCUUGAACUUUUUUUGUUCAAACUAGUCCUUGAACUUGGCGAUUGUUCUCAAGGUAUGGCCUAGACCAUUUUUUGUUCAAGUUAAUCCCUAAACUUGACAAUUGUUCUCACAUUGAGGUUUGAACUUUUUUUGGGUCCAAGUUAGACAUUGUAUGAUAAACCACUAAAAAAAUUUAAUCAAUAAAAAAUUAAUAUUUUCAAUGAUUAGUAUUUUACACAUGUUUGAUAAUUCAAAAUAAAAAAAUAAUCCAAUAGAAUUUUUUCUAUAAAAAAAGUGUCGAAAAUGAUGAGUAAAUAAAAGUUAAUUAUCGCUUAAUGGAGAAUAUUUUCAAUUAACUCAAUUUUAUUUUAUUUAUUUUAAUAUUAUGUUAUCCUAUAAAAACUAAAUGUUUAAAAAUAUAAAAAGACAAAAAUAUCUACAUAAUCUUAUAAGCUACCUAGUAGAUUAAAUAUUUUUUUAGUAAUUUCCUAAAUUGAGACAUGGUUGGUGGGUGACACCGACUCAGUAAAAAACUUAAUAAAUAACUAGAAAUUCUAACAUACACGUAUGCAUGUGAAUACCACAAAUUUCGAAUGCAGAUUGAGUCAGUGUCUAGUUAACUUAUGACAUCAACUCAGUUAAAAGCUUUAUUAAUAUUAACUAUAUAUACAACUGGUGGAGGUAAUAAAACGUGCGUAAUAAAAUAAAAAUGUAUAAAAAUAUCAAAAUAAAACUUUAGUUGAAUGGUAUAUUAAAAACUUUAAUAGUGCAAUUGGCAUGGGUUUAAUUCCUACCAUUCUUUAAAGUGACAAGACUAAAUUAACCUUGAAUAAUAUUACUUAUUUUAAUUACGUAAAGGCCUUCUCGUAAUUUCCUAAACAAGUUGGUGCCUGGUUGACUUGUGACACCAACUUAGUCAGUGCUUUAUUAAUACUAGAAAUUCUAUCACGUGCGUAUGCAUGUGAAAACCACAAAUUUAGAACACAAAUGUGUGUUAAAAAUAACAUACAAUAAAUAAUAAAAUGUAUAGGUUGACACUAAAUAAAAAUAAUAACAUGUAAAAUUUGAAGAUAUUAAAAUGAAAAUGAAUAGAUUAAAAUUGUUUAUCAUAAUAUUGUCAUCAAUCUUGAGUCAGUGCUGAGUUAAGUUAAGACACCAGUUCAAUAAAAUAUAUAUAAUUGAUUGGGGUAAGAGUGUGCAUAAUACAAAUUGAAAUGUACAAAAUAUUAAAAUAAUACUUUAAUUAAGUGAUAAAUUAAAAGUUUUUCUAAGUCAAUUCACCAGUUUUCAAUUCCCAUCAUAUGUAUUUUUAUUAUUAUUUUUAAAUAGAAAAAUUAAAUUAUCCUCAAAUAUAUAAAUUAUUUUACUUGCAGAAAAAUAUUUUCGUAUUAUUUCUAAUUUAGUUGGUACCACACUUAUCAAGUCAAUACAACACUUAAAAAAUAAUAUUGACUAUUUAUUCAAAAAAUAUUGACUAUUGAUAUAGAUAAAAUAAAUAUAAAUAAAAAAAAUCAAUAAAUGGGAAAAUUGCCAUAUGCAUCAAAUAAAUAAAAAGGUUUAAUUCAAAAUUAGUAUCUAAAACUAUGCCAAUUUUCUCAUUUUAAGUACCUAAAUUUUUCAGUAAAAAAUAUGCUUAAACUAUUAAAUUCGUUAUAUUUUAUCUAAAAAGUGUACGAUGCCAAUAAAAUUAAUCGUUUAAAUAUCAUUUUUGCCAAAAAAAAACUCUUAGACACCUAAGUGGUAAAUACGAUAUAGUUUGAGGGUUAAUUUUGUAUUUAAGCCAAGAAAAGAAAAGAAGAGGAUUUUACCUUGUCAUCUGCAAAUUUGAUCCAAAACAGAGCAACGGCUCUGUCAUAGGGAUCAGCCGGCAGCAAGGGAUUUUGCGGCCAAAUUUCAUCGAUAUAUCGAAGGAUGACGGUGGAUUCGCAGAUCGGUUUUCCGUCAUGAACGAGCACCGGGACUUUCUUAUGAAUUGGAUUAUAUUGAAGGAGCAAAGGACUCUUGUUGGAGAGAUCUUCUUCGAUGUAUUCGUAAGGUAUGCCUUUGAGUUUCAGAGCCCAAAUUACUCUGAAAACGUACGGACUAAGCCAAGCUCCGAACAGUUUCACAACCGCCAUGGUUGGGAGAUUAGUCGAUUUUCUGGUAGAUCCUGAGAGCGGUGAGUGUAAAUUUAUAAUAGGAUUAGUAGUCAAAGCUUUGAGUAAGGUAAAGAUGAAGCGUUAAUAUAUAUAAUAAUAUAAGGUAAUGUCAUGCAUGAUGCAACUUUAUUACUUGGUUUUUCUAAUUUGAAUAAAUAUUUUGAGAAUAUGUGUUUAAAUCGGUCAGGUUAUUAAUUUGUCGAUUUGAUUAAUGUGAUUAUUCAAUAAAAAUAAAAUAAUUUCAUUAAAAAUAUUUAAAAAUUCAGUUCAAUUCUCAAUUUAAUUAAUUUUUUAAUUGGUUUAAGUUGUUUAAUACUCUUCAUCGAACAAAUAAAUUCGACCAACCGGUUUGAUCCAUAUAUAUUUGCUUAAAAAAUAUGUUUUCUCUUAUAUAGUUAAUGUCUCAUGUAUAUUUAUUUGGUAAACUAUAAAAAUAGUUAUUUUUGUUUGCCUCAGAUUACAUUUUAAUCAGUUAUGUUUAAAAUACGUUGUAGCCACUUACUUUAUAGUUUUGAUACGAUAUGGUCACUCUGUCAUUAACCUCUGUUACCUCCUAAUGACAAUCCUACGUGGCAGUCCAAAUGAGUUUUAAAUGUCGACUUUAAUGUCCAACUUGGACAUUGAUAGGUUUUUAAUUAAUUACACCUUGAAUUGAAAAAAAAAACCGUUCGUCUCCUUUUUCUUUUAGUUUUCUUUUUCAUUUUGACUGAAAAAAUUAUUCUUAUCCCAGUUAGAUAUCUAAAUUGGCAUUUAGAACCCAUCUGGAUCGCCACAUAGGAUUGUCAUUAGGGAGGUAACAGAGCUUCACGGUAGAGUGACUACUUCGUAACAAAACAAUAACAUAAAUGACUAAAAUGUAAUCUGAGACAAACAAAAAUAACUACUUUUACAGUUUAUCCAUAUUUGUUUUGCAGUUUAUAGAGAUGAUUUGUGAUUAUUCUUUUCAAUAAUAUGGUUUUUAAAAUUUUGACUCAAACUUUUUUAUUAAAAAUAUAAUAUAACUUACCAUUACAUAAGAUAAAUUUUUAAAUACAAAAACGAUAAAUAUAUAUAUAUAAACAUUGUUGUAUAUCAUGAUUAGUGAAUAUAAUAUAUUAAAUCUUUUAGGUAUUUAAAAAUGAUCUAAUUUAAAUACAACCUAAACUCUAUCUGGUAUGUUCUAUGUUUUACGUAAGCAAACAUGUCGUCAUGUUUGAUUCCAAGAACUUGCUAGAAAUUUUGAUAUCGUAUGCAUAUGGAAAUUAUAAAUUUAAAAUAUAUAUGUGGGAGAUUUUAGAUACUCUGCUUCUUUAUACAAGCGAGAACUUAAUAAAAUGACGAUAUUCAUUGAUAGUUUAGACGGAGGUUAAGACAUGUUCAUGAGAAAGAGAAUAAAGUUGCAUAUUUCAUAGCUAAAACAGUUUUAGACAAGAAUGAAGGUGUUUGGGUUUUCGAUGAAGCUCCCGGGGCGCUCAUAGCUAAUUUAAAAUGUUUGAUUUAGUUGUUCUCGUGACUUAUUCUUAGCUAAGAGAAUGAAUAGCUGUCCUUUAUUUUGAAGUGGUAGUAUUUUUACAUUUUUUUUUUUAAUUUCAAGUUUAAAUUUGUACUAACUUUGUGUGUGUGUGUGUGUGAGAUAAAAAAAUUACAUCAAAUUUCCUUGAAGAAAAGCUUUGCUACUUUUAUCACAUUGCAACAUCACUAAGACUGCAUCAGGAGGGUUCUCGUAAAUCUAUAAACUUAUCUUCCAUUCUAGAGUCAUCUUUGCCAAGCAAUCGGCCACUGAAUUAGCUUCUCUAGGAACAUACCGAAUCCACCACUGCCCUUCAAAUUCUAAAAUUCGUUUAACUCUCCUAAGCAUAGUAACUCUUGAGUCGUCCCCCCACUCUCUUGUAGGGCUUUGACCAACUCCGGAUUAUCAAUUUGAACUAUUCUUUACUUCGUCCCCCCACUCUUUUGUAGGGCUUUGACCACUUCCGGAUUAUCAAUUUGAACUACUCUUUAUUUUAUGUCUAACUAUUGUAAAACAUAUAUAAUAAAUAAGUAUUUUCCUCGUGUUCUUACACUAAUAAUCAAACGAGGCAUUAGUAUUAUUUCAUCCCACAUCACUUAGACAAGGGUUUUGAACUUUGUUUAAAUGUUAUUCAACACUUCCAUGGGAGAAAAUACAAUCAAUGUUCCAAACCCUAAUUUGAUUUUGAUGUCAACAACAUCUCUCUACGACAUUUCAACAAAGCUAACAUCUUAUUAGUAUCAAGCAAGUUGUCUUUGAUUACAGGGACUGAUUUGAAAUUUUGGAUCCACAAGCUCACUCGAGGGAACUUGUGUGGCUCAAAGAUUUUAAGCCCUCUCUCUCCUUUGCUAAAUGAAUAGGUUUGUUAUUAAUUGGAUAUGGUCACAGCUGUACUGAGAUCAAUUCCACUAAAAAUUGAUGAUUUGAUUGGUUUAAUCGCCAAUUCGAUUGUUAUAAUAUUAAUUCAAAAUAGUCAAUAAAAUAGUUUUAUUCUAGGGUAGAUAUACAUUUUAAUAUUUGAGCAUGAUUUCAAGGUUCAAAUUGAUACUUAAAGUUUAGGGUUUAAGUAGGAGAAUAAUGCACUUCAACACACUCAAACCCACGCGAUUUUAGACUCUUAAAAAUUAACAAUUCAAUUUUAUUUAGUUCUUUAACCUAAAACUUUGAAGUUUGGCUCUCAAUAAUUUAUAUUUUAUGCUAAUCAUUUUUAUUAAAAUAUUUUAAUUUCGAUUUUGUUUCGAAGUGAGCAAUUGAUCAAUUCAAUCCAAUCCAAAGAUUUAACGAACUCUUUUACGAAUCAAAAUAGAACCAAAUUCUCUAUAAAACCAACAAAAUCAAAUUAAUUAUGAAUAAUUUACUACUCUACCUAUGAUUGAAUUACUAAAUAAUAUUGGCAAAAAAUACUAAAUAAUUUUUUUUGUAAAUAUAAUUUUAAUAUUAAUUUUUUCUUUCACUCGUGGAUAAGACAAAAUUCGCUAUUUGAAAUUGAAAGUCGAUUACUUUGAAUGAAAACAAAUUUACCGGACCUGCAACAUACGCGACAAAACUUUUUCUUGUUUGUCACUAUUUUACUGUCAUUUCACUAUUAUGUUGUUAUUAUUUAGAUAUUGUAUAACUCUUAUUUUAUUGUCAAUUUUGCUACUAUGUUAGAGACAUUUGUUUGUUAAGUUGCAUCUAUCUUAGUUUUAUUUAAGUAUAAAAAUUUUUAUUUUAAUUUAUUUUAAUGUUUUAAGUGUAUUUGCUGUAUUAUAUUUUUAAAAUUUUCUAUAUAAAAAAUAAAAUACAGGUAGGCUAGACCAAACCUAUAAAUUGGGCCCAAAAAUUUGUUAAGGCCUGACCUGAUCCGACUUAUAGACACUUCUAUUUUAAACCAUCUUCUUUACUGACUUAGGCAAGUAAAGGAAUUUAUUUAAGCGAGAAGAUAAAAAGGAAAAAAAUAAUCCGAGAAAUAAAAUAAAAAUUCGUAGCAAAGAGAAACAUAAUAUAAAGAAUAUAAAUAUGAAUUUCUUUAUAAAUUUCGGAUCAACGUAAUGAUAAAAGAAUGAUAAUAACAGAUUCAACCCCUAUACUUAAUCAAUAUAUCUAAUAUAUCCUUCUAAUGGAGUUAAAAUCUUACAUCACUUUGAAUGCAACCAAUUGUAUGCUGCCAUGUCGCACUAUUAGUUUGAAAAAUUUUAAUCAAAGUCGAGGGAUUUGAAAAUAGUUAUACCAAAAAUUGUUUCAAAGAUUAAGACCAACCCAAGUCCGGCACAAUUUAGCCCAUCAACUCAUCUACCCUAAACUUAAACUUAAAUUAUACAUGUUUUCUCAAAUAGAUUUUUAAAUUUUUUUUGUUAAUUUGAGUAUUUAAACUAAUUUUUUCCUCACAUUGGCAUCCCCAUUAGUUAUCCCUUAGUCUGAUUUGGUGGAAUAAAAAUAAAAUAGAAAUUAGCUUUCGGAGAGAUAGCUGAGUGGUUGAUAGCUCUAGUUUUGAAAACCGGUAUAGUUCGAAACAAAGAAUUAUUGAAGGUUUGAAUCCCUCUCUCUCCUUUGCUCGAUGAAUAUAUUUCUUUCUUUAUUGCUUUUUCCUAACUUCUUAAUUAAGAAUCUUAAUAUUAAUAAAAGGUAAUGGCUCGGCAGGGUGGAAUAGCUGAGCUAGAAAAAAAUACUUUAGAUAGAAAAUAAGUUGAAACAAAAGGAAAACAUAAUAAUUUUUUAAAUAUCACUUGAUUCUUUCAAUAUAUAUUGUGUAAUCAAAUUGAUUCCUACCUUAAGUAUUGGAUCUCCUGUCUUAGUUAUCUUAGUUAAGAAGAGUCAUGAAAAGAACAAGCUCAAAAUCACGAUCAAUUCCUUUUUCAAAUAUUCUUGCGGUUGUGCGAGCUCUUCCCGUGUGCCAUAAAUAACCCACGAAUAGGAAGAAUCCUGGAACAACAUGAGAGGUAGCUAACCGACUUCUCGAAGAGACAUAAUUAACUGCAUUGAUCUCGGUAGCUAUGCCACCUACGGAAUUUAAAGAUCCUAAAGGAGCAUGCGUCAUAUAUUUCGUAGAACACUGUUCUUGCCAAGGUUGAAUGUCUUUUUUCAACCUACUCAAGUGCAAACCAUUGGGACCUCUUAGAGGUUCUAACCAAGGAGCACGCAGAUCCCAAAAACGUAUAGUUUCCCCUCCAAAAAUAACUUUUCUGGUCAGAGAAUGUGUUAGAUAUUUACCUAACCCAAUAACCCUUGAGCAAAUCCCACGUUAGCUCCAAGACAUUGGUCUCUACUAGAAAAGUAAAUGCUUGAGCUUGAGAAGCUUCUGGUCCAGUGGGCCCGUAAAACUCACUAGGCCAGUUGUUAGUAAACCUCCAUCAAUGAUGAUGUGAUCCAAUCACCAAUCGACGUGUGAAAAAAAAUUACAUAAACAAAUCACCUCGUUAUUUGUAUAAAAUAAUUCCAAAAUUAAAAAAAUAGAGAAAUUAAGAUUAUUUCUCUCAUUAAAAGAAAUUAAAAGAAUUAUUUCUCUCAUUUCUUUCUUAAACAUUGAUUCUUUGUCCCAUAGUUGCCUUCAAAUCCAUCCACCACAUGUUUGGGAAGAUGACCCUCAAGAAAUAAAUUUCAAGCCCGAAAUUGGUGUUUUCCUUUUCAAUGUAUUGAAUUUGUUUCCUUACAAUAAGAUCUUUUACAGUAAAGUGUUGAGAAAAAUGGGAUUAUGAUGUUUUAAUUCUUGACUUAAUGUUGACCAGGUAGAUGGAAGAUGACAAAGUCUCCAUUUGAAGAUCAAAGGAAAUUGAGAUGCAAGUUGUCUUUGGAGAGGAAGUGGGAGGGGAGGGCGGUGGUGGGGGAAGGAUAUAUAUUUUUAAUUCAUAUUAAUAUUAAUAUAAAAUUAUAAAAUCAAAAAAAAGGAAUUUUCUAAUUUUUAUUUUUGCUACGUGUCAAAUGGUAAUUGGGCCUUGUGAUUUCUGAACAAAAAUGAUUGACGGAGGACUAAUAGGGUACCAAUGGGGGGAAUAGUUUAGGUACUCAAAUUGAUCAAAAGAGUGUUUAGAUUCAAACUCACACGAUUUUAGACUCUUAAAAUUUAACAAUUCAAUUUAAUUUAGCUGUUCAACUUAGAACUUUGAAGUUUGGCUCUCAAUAAUUCAUAUUUUAUGCUAACCAUUUUUUAUUAAAAUAUUUUAAUUUCGAAUUUAUUUUGAAGUGAGCAAUUGAUCAAUUAAAUUCAAUCUAAAGAUUUAACAAACUCUUUUACGAAUCAAAAUAGAACCAAAUUUUCUAUAAAACCAACAUAAUCAAAUUAAUUAUGAAUAAUUUACUGCUCUGCCUAUGAUAUUGAAUUACUAAAUAAUAUUGGUAAAAUACAUUAAUAUUAAUUUUUUCUUUCACUCGUGGAUAUGACAAAAUUCGCUAUUUAAAAUUGAAUAAUAUCGAUUCAAAUUAAUUCUUAAAUACAUUUAACGACUUAAAUUUAACUUUUAAUCCUUAGAAUUAAAUCCUUAAUUUAUGUAUAGUUCAUAUAUUAAUAAUAAAAUUUAACUUUUAAUAAAUAUUAUAUUAUGAUACAUUGUUGAUGUGGGUAAAAGAAUAUGUAAAAAUAAAUUUUAUAAAAAAAUACUAAAAAACAAAUGAAUCUUUAUAAUAAUAGUAAAAUUUUAAUUUUAAUAAUUUUAAACUGAUAUUAAACUAUUUCAUAUCAUCCAAUCAAUUAAGUAGAUAUGCUUCUUUUGUAGUUUCUAGUUAUGUAUUUCACCUACAACUUAUGAAUGAUAUUUCUAAUUAAUUGGAUUUGGUCACAGCUGUACUGACAUCGAUUCAACUAAAUAUUGAUAAUUUGAUUGGUUUAACGCCAAUUCAAUUGUUAUAGUAUUAAUCUAAAAUAGUCAAAAAAAUGAUUCGAACCUCGAGUGAGGUUUUUUUUUACCUAGACCCAGCUCGAAUUUGCAAAAAAGAAAAAAAAAACUUUUUCUUGUUGUUUUUCACUAUUUUGUUGUUAUUUCACUAUUAUGUUGUUAUUGUUUGGAUAUUGUAUAACUCUUAUUUUAUUGUCAAUUUUGCUACUAUUUUAGAGACAUUUGCUUGUUAAGUUGCAUCUAUCUUCGUUUUAUUUAAGUACAAAGGUUUUUAUUUUAAUUUAUUUUCAAUUUGUUAGGAAACAUUUAUUUUAAUGUUUUAAGUGUAUUUGGUGUAUUAUAUUUUUAAAAUUUUUAUAUAAAAAAUAAAAUACGGAUGGGCCAAACCAAACCUAUCAAUUGGGCCUAAAAAUUUAUUAGGGCCUAACUUGAUCCGACCCAUAGACAACUCUAUUUUAAACCAUCUUCUUUGUUGACUUAGGCAAGUAAAGGGAUUUAUUUAAGCGAAGAGAUAGAAAGAAAAAAAAUCCGACAAAUAAAAUAAAAAAUCUUCGUUGCAAAGAGAAACAUUAUAUAAAGAAUAUAAAUAUGAAAUUCAGUUGUGGAUAUGACAAAAUUCGCUAUAUGAAAUUGAAAAUCGAUUAAUUUAAUUUUGGAUUUCCAAAAUGAAACAAAUUUAUCGGAGCUACAACAUACUCGACAAAACUAAAAUCAACCUGUUGAAUUGCUUUAGUCAGUUUGACCCGACUAUUGCACACCCUUAGUUUUGCUCCUGGAAUGUAUGUAUACUUGUUAAAAUCGGGACUGGUAUCAUUGGAAUGAAACGUGGAGAGCAAGCAACGAAAAUUUCCGAAGAAAAGUGUCCUCUCCUACUUCCUUCUUCCUUCUUCCUCCUACUUUCUUCUUUCUUUCUUUAUAUGCUUAAUUAUAUCUAUAUCUACGCUUAGAAUUUUGAAAAUUGGGCAAAGCAUCAAUAUAUUCCUUUCUUUAUGAAGACCAGAACCAACGCCCAAGAAAAGAAUCUACUAACCAUGAGGCCUGGACUAAUUUGAUGAAGCAAUUUCAUUUUUGUUCUUCUUCUUCUAAAUAAUUUCACAGUAUCUGAGAGUUGGACAGAAAGAGAGAUGGAAAUUCAACAUUUCAGCCAUCACCAUCCUUUGGUCUUCAUCCAAUCUCACAGUGUUGCAAGCAAAGCAGCUCUUUGCCUUGUGUGUGAGAAACCUGUAGAGGGCUGGAGCUAUGGCUGCAAUCAAUGUGAGUUUUAUCUUCACAAGGGAUGUGCUGAGUUAGACUUAGCCCCCAAGAUUCAGAAUCACUUCCACCCUAAACACCCUCUCACUCUUCAGCCAAAAUCACGUUGUUCUUGGAUAGGAAAGUGCAAUUUGUGUGGUAAGAAAUUUGGGGGAUUUGCUUAUCGUUGUAAUGAUUGUAAUUUCCAUCUGGACAUCAAUUGUGCUUUGCUUCAAUCAUCCAUUGCUGCAAAUUUUCCUAAUUCUUUGCACCCCCAUCCUUUACACGUCAUUCAAAAUCAUAACAAGGAAGUCGAGCCUGAUUGCCUGGGGUGUCGGAAACCAAUAUCUGGUCCAUUUUACCACUGUUCAGAUUGCACUUAUCCUACAGUCUUUAACCUUCAUAAGGAAUGUGCUGAACUACCCCUUGAGAUUAAUCACCCCUAUGACCGUAAGCAUCCUCUUACUCUCUUGCCACAACCGCCUACUCAUCCCCAGAAAUGUAGUUGCUCUUUGUGCAGAAUCCAAUGGAAGGGGUUUGUUUAUUCCUGCUCUCUAUGCAACUUUGAUCUUUCACUUGAUGAUUUUCUUUUUUCACCACCAACAAUCACAGUUGCAAGUCAUGAACACCCGUGGAUGCUUGUAUCUAGAAAAAUGUGGUUUGUUUGUGAUUUUUGUGGCACUGACGGAGAUCACUCCCCCUUUGUCUGUGCUACAUGUCACCUCCUUGUCCACAAGAAUUGCAUUUCAUUGCCACGCCACAUCAUGAUAACACGACAUCGUCACACGAUUUCUCUUUCCUAUUCUCUUCGACAAAAUCAAGUUGAGGAUUGGAUGUGCAAAAUUUGUUACGAGGAAGUUGAUAUAAGGUAUGGCAAUUACCGUUGUCCUGCUUCUCGUUGCCGUUAUAUUUCUCAUGUACGUUGUGCAACUGAUAAAGCAAUUUGGGAUGGAACAAUUAUGCCGGAAGGCUAUGACGAGAGGUCCGAGGAAGUGGUGGACGAACCUUGGAAUUUGAUUACUGAUGUUGUUGAACAAAUUCGUAUUGGAGAGCUAAUGGUAGCAAGUGAGAUCAAGCAUUCCUAUCAUGAUCAUAAUUUAAGACUCACUUUUAGUGGGAAGACCAAAGAUGAUGAUUGUCAGUGCGAUGGGUGCACGAGACCUAUAUCAACUCCUUUUUAUCGUUGUGAGCAAUGCAAGUUCUUUCUCCACAAAGAUUGCGCUGAAUUGCCCAAAGAAAUGCCACACCCAUCGCACAUGCAUUUGCUUACUCUCGUGAACUUACAUGGUAAGUUGGGUUUUUCAUGCUGCUGUGCUUGCGGUCGUCCGUGUCAAGGAUUUAGUUAUAUAUGCUACAAAGGAUAUUGCGGCUACCAAAUUGACAUUCAAUGUAUGUUAUUUUCGGACACCUUGAAGCACCCAAGUCAUGAGCAUUCACUCUUUCUUUUCCACAACAAAGAGGGAACGAGUUGCAGUGCUUGUUUCAGAAAACUAUACUACUCAUUUGCAUAUAGAUGCAUGAAGCGCUGUGAUUUCAGUUUAGAUGUAGGUUGUGCAACACUACCACUCACUGCUUGGUACAAGUAUGACAGGCAUGCUCUUACUUUGACUUUUUCUGAUGAUUCUGAGCCUUCUCAACUUUUCUGCGAUAUCUGCGAAAAAAAAAGAAAGCCAAAUCGUUGGUUUUACUACUGUGCUAAUUGUGAUAACUCUCUUCAUCUCAAUUGUGCUAUUGGGGAUCUCCCAUAUAUGAAGCUUGGGAACAAAAUCGAAGGUAUAAGGCAUCGACAUCCAUUCAAUGUUGUGAAAAACAUCUGGAAUUGCCCUCCAUGUAAGGGAUGUGGUGAGGUUUGCAAUGGGCAGGCCCUAGAAUGUAAAGAAUCUGAAUGCAAUUUUACCGUCCAUUGGAAUUGCCUUUUGGAUCUCCGGGAAUGAUAUACCACUCAAGUUGAAGAAACAGAGAAGGCGCAACAUCACAGGCGUGUGGUGUUGUGUGGAAGGGUGUAGGAGAUUUGGUAAAAAUGGGUGAUGGCCUUAGUUGUUGUAAUCUGCAUUAUGUGAUGUUAAUGGUUGUGUUAGAUAAAACAUGUGAUUUGUAACCACACAUCUUUAUCUUUCACGUUUGUAUUUGCUUCUUAUAAAAAAUUAGUGGUGAGAAGGAAGAAAUGGUUUUUAGGUGGUGAUAAUAAAAUAUUUUUAAUAUGAAAAUACGAAAAUAAUGUUGAGUUUGGAAAUUUAAAUACAAAAUCAUUCUUCCCUUCAUAACUGCAUACAAAAUUGUGUGUGAUUUUUAAGCCCAAAAUAUAAGCGGAUUUGGUAUAUCUUAUUAUUUUUGCGCAAAACUGUAUAUAUGUUUUAGCUUUACAAUUUUGGUUAAUUAAGUCAACUUAAUUAAUUUUAUUUCUACUACAUGUUCUAAUUAAUAUGCUAAAAUGUCCUUUUAUUUCUUUGCCCUCAAAAUAUUAAAAAUAAAAAAUCUCUUUUCUUUCAGUUCGUUUUUUAACUUUUAAUUUUUAUCAGAUGAUUCGGAACUAAGUGAAAAAAUUAACAAGCUGUUAAUUUUGAUGAUGUGGGUGAUUAAUGUUGAUUUGAUAUUCAUAACAAUCCACGUCAGUAAAAAUUAAUUAUUCAAUCUUAUUAUAGAUUCUUAUUAUAUUUACUCUUUUUGACAUAAUGCUUAGAACUACCUAUAGUCCCAAUAAGAGUAUAAUGUGCUUCAAUGCACUUGAAUCCACGUCCUCCUGCAUUGGCAAUAAUGCUCAUGCUAAUCGAAUUAAAACUCAAACAGCUACUUACUAAUUUUGAAAAUAUUCAAAAUUAUUUUCUUAAAUAAUUUAAUAUUGAGCUGUCAAUUUUAAAAUAUUAAUAUAUUAAACCAAAAAAAAACUGUAAAUAGAACUUCGAUAUCUUGAAUCUACCUUUGGAUCAUCUUAAGAUUCUACAAAAGUAGAGAAAAAAAACAGAGCUUUUAACUCGAAUAAGAGAAAAUAAUUUUGAUACCUAAACUUUAAUUCUAUUUAUUAUUGCCAUAUAUCCUUCUAAUGGAGUUAAAAUCUUACCAAUUGUGGGACUAUUAGUUAGAAAAUUUUUAAUCAAAGUCAAGGGAUUUGAAAAUAAUUAUACCAAAAUUUAUUUUAAAACCCUAAAUGAAAAAUAGUAAGACCAACCCAAGCCCGGCACAAUUUAGCCCAUCAACGCAUCUACCCUAAACUUAAACUUUGCCCUCACGCUACCCAAUUCAAUCUAGGCUUAAUAUAAAAAUUGCCCCCUAAAUUAUUUUCAUUUUCUCACAUAGGUAUCUAAACCUUUUUUUUUUGUCAAAUUGAGUACUUAAAGUAAUUUUUUCCCGCAUUGGUACCCUGUUAGUUAUCCCUUAGUCAGCCAUUAGUCAACAUUGUUCAAUGUUCAAUGAUGAUGCGGCCCAAUCACUAAUAAGCACGUGGCAAAAAAAAGCCACAUAAGUAAACCAUCUCAUUCUUUGUAUAAAAUAAUUCCAAAAAAUAAAAAAUUUAGAAAAAUUAAAAUUAUUUUUUGAUUUUAUAUUAAUAUUAAUUAAAAAUAAUAUUAAGAAAUAUUUUCACACCCUGUUCCUCUCCAACGAUCCCCCACCAUCCUCACCCAACCCUCUCCCUCUGCUAACCCUUCAAUUAUAUUUUCAUAUAAAAAAAAAUUCCUCCUUUCUUUCUUCAACAUUGAUUCUUUGUCUCACAAUUCCCUUCAAAUCCAUCCACCACAUGUUUGGGAAAAUGACCCUCAAAAAAAGAAAUUUUGAGCUUGAAAUUGGUGUUUUCCUUUUCAAGCACUGGAUUAGCUUCUCUAGGAACAUAUCGAAUCCACCACUGCCCUUCAAAUUCUAAAAUUCGUUUAACUCUCCUGAGCAUAGUAACUCUUGAGUCGUCCCCCCACUCUCUUGUACGGCUUUGACCACCUUCAAAUUAUCAGUUUGAACUAUUCUUUAUUUUAUGUCUACCUAUUAUAAAACAUAUGUAAUAAAUAAGUAUUUUCCUCGUGUUCUUACACUAAUAAUCAAACGAAACAUUAGUAUUAUUUUAUCCAACGUCACUUAGAUAAGGGUUUUGAACUUUGUUUAACUAUUAUUUAACACUUAUGGGAGAAAAUACAAUCAAUGUUCCAAACCUUAAUUUGAUUUUGAUCUCAACAUCUCUCUACGAUGCUUCAACAAACCUAACAUCUUAUCAGUAUCAGGCAAGUUGUCUUUGAUUACAGGGACUGAUUUGAAAUUUUGGAUCCACGAGCUCACUCGAGGGAACUUGUGUGGCUCAAAGAUUUUAAGCCCUGCAAAGUCUUCGAUCAGCCCGAGCCAGUGAGCAACCAUGCAAAAUGCAAUGUCCACCAUGUUUAUCUCGUCUCCACCGAAGAAUCUUUUCCCUCCGAUCAACGCAUGUUCUUCCAUCGCUUCCAGCAUUUCCAACCACUCCUUCACUACCGCCUCCUGUUCUUCACCUUCGGUUCGGUAAAGCUUUGAGAGUAAAUGACUCUAUUUUAAGCAGAGAUUCUAGUAUCAGCCAUCAAAAGUUAUUUGCCAUAGAAAAACCCAAACUACAAAGUGCUAAAAUCUCAAUUUCAACUAGGUUAAAAUAUGCUACAAGUCUUUGUAUUCUUUGUAUGUUUGCAAUUUAGUCCUAUUUUUCGUUUCAAGAAAUUUAAUCCCCCUACUGUUAAAGUUAAAAAGGGUUAAAUCACUUUAGGAGGCUAAAACUUAGUAACUACUCCCACACUAGGGGCCUAAACUUUUUUUUUGUUAAAAUUAGUUCUUGAACUUGGCGACUGUUCUCACGGUAUAGCCUGAACUAUUUUUUGUUUAAGUUAAUCACUGAACUUGACUAUUAUUCCGACAUUGAAGCUGGGGGUUUUUUUUUUUUUUGGUCCAAGUUAAACCUUGUUUGAUAAACCAUUGAAAAAAUUGAUUAAUUGAAAAUUAAUAUUUUCAAUGAUUAGUAUUUUACACAUGUUUGAUACUCCAAUAGAAGUUUUUCUAUAAAAAAAAGUGCGGAAUAUGAUGAGUAAAUAAAAUCUAAUUAUAACUUCAUGGAAAAUAUUUUCAAUGAACUCAAUUUUAUUUUAUUUAUUUUAAUAUUAAGUUAUCUUAUAAAAACUUAAUGUUUAAAAACUUGAUUUUGGUUUAGAAUAAAGUAAAAUGUUUAAAAUUUAAUGAAAAAAUGUAAACUAUAAUUUUAUAUAAUUAAAAUUCUAUAUUUAUCAAAAAAAUUAAUUAUAUUUUGUAAUUAAUUUUAAUUAAUGUAUCAAACAAAUUUUAUAACUUAAAUUUGGCACUUAAAAUUUCAAUAUUAACCCUUAUUUUUCAAUACUUAAUUUUCCAAUUUAUCAAACAACACCUUAAUCCUUAAUAUUUUCUUAAAAACCCUAAUGUUGAAGCUCUUACGUGGGAACAAUUACCUAGUUCAAGCACUAACAUGAGAACAAUUACCAAGUUUAAGGAUUAACUUGAACAAAAAAAAAGUCCAUACCCCAAUGUAGGAACAAUUACCUAGUUCAAGCCUUAACAUGUGAACAAUUCCCAAGUUUAUGGAUUAAAUUUGGACAAAAAAAAGUUUAAACCCCAAUGUGAGAAUUUUUGACAAAUUCGGGCCUCAAAUUAUGAUUUAACCCAUUUAAAAAUGUAAAUAUAGUCGUAAACGUAAUUAAUUCUUUAUGCUAAAUUCAAGUUCAUAACUCUUUUUUUUUUUUUUGUUAUAUGACUAUUAAAUGAGUAACUUUUUUAAUUUCAAACUAUCGCACCAACAAAUUUAACAAAAAAAUUAACCGUGUUAACAAUUAAAUAUAAAUUUUGAUAUAUAAAAAGUAGAGAUAUUAAAUUCUUGAAAAUAAAAGUAGAUGAACUAAAUUCUAAAUAUAUGAAGAAUACGGGACUUAGAGUGUAUUUUAACUUUUCAACUAUCAUUAAAUAUUUAAUACUAGAUUAUAAUAAAUAAAAGACACCUACUUCAUGAAUGAAAUUAUUAUAAUGUUAUUUUUAUCUUUUUAUAUUUUUAUUUUGAUGCAGAAUUUUUUUAUUGAUAUGAAAUUUAUUAUUAAUUGAAUAUAGUUUAUUUGAGUUGGUGGAUGACACCGACUCGGUAAAAAGUUUAAUAAAUAAUUAGAAAUUCUAUCACAUACAUAUGCGUGUGAAAACCAUAAAUUUCAAACAUUAAUGUGUGUUUAAAAAAUAACAUACAAUAAAUAAUGAAACGUAUGGUUUAAAACUAAUUAAUAAUAACAUAUGAAAUGUAUAUGAUGUUAAAAUGAAAAAAAUAGAUUAAAAUUGUGUAUCAUUUUGUUGUCCUCAAUCUUGAGUCAACGUAGAGUUAACUUUUGACAUUAACUCAAUUAAGGGUCUUAUUAUUAUUAACUAUAAAUACAACCGGUGGAGGUAAUAAAUCGUGCAUGAUAAAAUAAAAAUGUAUAAAAAUAUUAAAAUAAAACUUUAGCUGAAUGGCAUGUACAUUUUUUUAAUGAAAAAAUUAAAAUACCCUCGAAUAAUAUUACUUAUUUUAAUUACGUUAAAGCCUUCCCGUAAUUUCCUAAGCGAGUUGGUGCCUAGUUGAUUUGUGACACCAACUUAAUCAGGUGCUUUAUUAAUACUAGUAAUCCUAUCACACACGUAUGCGUGUGGAAACCACAAAUUUAGAAGACAGAUGUGUAUUUAAAAAUAACAUAUAAUAAAUAAUAAAAUGUAUAAGUUGACACAAAUAAUAAUAAUACAUAAAAUAUGUAAGAUAUUAAAAUGAAAAAAUUAAAAUUGUUUAUCAUGAUGGCCGAAUUUGGACAAGUAUAAUGUAUGAUAUCACGCUUAGACUCAAUUUGAACCCGACCUGACUCAUGAGCACCUCUAGGACCACCUUUAUCAACUCAAUACAACACUUAAUAAAUAAUAUUCACUACUGAUAUAAAUAAAUAAAUAUAAAUAUAAAACAUCAAUAAAUGGGAAAAUCUUCAUAUGCGUCAAAUAAAUAGAAAAAGGUUUAACUGCAAAAUUACUGUCUAAAUUAUGUCAAAUUUCUCAAUUUAAGUACAUAAAUUUUUUGGUCAAAAAUAUGCUUAAACUAUUACUUUCGUUAAAUUUUAUCUAAAAAAGUGUACGAUGCCAAUAAAACAUGGUGCUAUAUUUUUUUGGUAAAAUAAGAUAAAAUUAACCGUUUAAAUAUCAUUUUUGCAAAAAUAAAAAAACUCUUAGGCACCUAAGUGAUAAAUACGAUAUAGUUAGAGGGUUAAUUUUGAAUUUAAACCAAAAAAGAAAAGAAGAGGAGUUUACCUUAUCAUCGGCAAAUUUGAUCCAAAACAGAGCAACGGCUCUGUCAUAGGGAUCAGCAGGCAGCAAGGGAUUUUGCGGCCAAAUCUCAUCGAUAUAUCGAAGGAUGACGGUGGAUUCGCAGAUCGGUUUGCCGUCGUGAAGGAGUACUGGGAUCUUCUUAUGAAUUGGAUUAUAUUGAAGAAGCAGAGGACUUUUGUUGGAGAGAUCUUCUUCGAUGUAUUCGUAAGGUAUGCCUUUGAGUUUUAGAGCCCAAAUAACUCUGUAAACGUACGGACUAAGCCAAGUUCCGAACAGUUUCACGACCGCCAUGGUUGGGAGAUUAGUGGAUUUUCUGGUAGAUCCUGAGAGCGGAGAGUGUAAAUUUGU